CCUGGAUUUGGCCUUGGUGUUGUGAUUUCUGGAGCAAUCCGCGUGCAUGAGGACAUGCUUCUUGCUGCCUGUAAGUGCCUCUGACGAACAUGUUAUCCAUGAUUGCCUGCCAGUAUGCCAAGCAUUUCCUCAAAAAUAUUAACCAUAUUAUGGGAAGCUUAUCAAUGUUUCAUGUGUUCAAACAGCGGAAACACUAGCUGCACAGGCCACAAAGGAGAAUUUCGACAAGGGAUCCAUCUUUCCACCCUUCACCAACAUCAGAAAGAUAUCUGCCCUCAUCGCUGCUAGCGUGGCUGCAAAAGCCUACGAACUCGGUAUGUUCUCCGACACCCUUGCCCCCCUUCAGGCCUCAUGGAAUACCUGUGCUUGACAUUGCUCAAACUUUUUUCUGCAGGCUUGGCGACUCGCCUGCCGCGGCCGAGAGAUCUGGAGAAAUAUGCGGAGAGCUGCAUGUACACCCCUGUCUACCGCAGCUAUCGUUAAUGCAGUGGAGAUCAAUUUUGCAGUAAUAAAACGCAAGGUCGCAGGAUGCUGCGACGCUGUUGUUGUCUGUCGCUGUUCUUGCUGCUGCUGGAACUCGUAUCUGUCUAUACAUAUAUGCCGUGUCUGUUGUAACGCUGUGGAAGAAGUUAAGCAAACUGUCUUGUGUACCAACGUUUGUUAUUCGUGUAGGUUGAGUGUAACGAGUGUAAUAAGCACACAGAGUUCUAGUUCUCAAGGUAAUAUGGCUAGUGCUCCUCGCCUUUUAUCUCAACUGGGAUCCUUGACCAUAUAUGAAAAUAAAUGCAAAUUAGCUAAUGGAGGGUGCAAAAGUUUCAAUCGAAUGGGGAAACAUUUAUAAUAUACUCCCUCCGUUCCUAAAUAUGUCUAUUAGAGAUUCCAAUAUGAACUAAAUAUAGCACCUUUUAGAGAUUUCAAUAUGAACUACAUACAGAGUAAAAUGAGUAAAUCUACAUUCUAAAAUAUGUGUACAUGUGUUCGUAUGUAGUUUGUAUUAAAAUCUCAAAGGAUUUAUAUUUAAAAAAUAUACCUGUGUCUGUAUUGUGUUAAAAGAAAAUGUCUAUAUACAUUAGUAUGUAGUUUGUAUCUAUAUUUAGAAAUGGAGAAAUUCAUAUGUAGUCUGUAUCGUAAUCUCUAAAAAUACUUAUAUAUAAAAAUGAAGGGAGUAGAUUAUGUCAAAAGAAAGACUACCAUUUGGUUUUGCAUCAAAAGCAUUUUAUCGCCGUCUAAUUUCAGAGACACAUACAUGUUUUAUUGUUUAAAUUGAUGGUCAAGUUUAAACCUUAAAAUAUAUUUGUGCCUAGAGACCUAGGGAGCUUUUUGCCAAACCCUUCACGACAUCUGUGACUGUGUGGGUCGCUAGGGCUCCUUGCCUUUCUGGCUUAGGGCAUUUUCAACAGUAGCCCUAUAUUGGACACACAAAAGUAGUUCCUCCGUUCGAAAUUACUUGUCUCGGAAAUGAAUGUAUCUAAAACUAAAAUACGUCUAGAUACAUCCAUUUCUGCGACAAGUAAUUCCAAACGAAGGGAGUAGUUAUAGGGCACCAAAAAAUUGGUUUGGCAUCAUUCGGAAUUAUUUUCUUCACCAGUUGCCCUAUAAUAGGUACCAUUUUGCUCCAACGGCUGCCUAAUAUAGGACACCAACCACGUCAUUUGCGAUUGCAUACAUAUUGAAACAGAAACAUGAACUUGCAUAUAAAUUCAAGCUUUGCAAUACACAAAUGCAAAACAUGAAAUGCACAUAGCAAAUUUAACUUCAAAUCCACAUAUCAAAUUCAAAUGCAAACCAUCCAUCAUAGUGCAUCACCAACACAACUAAAAGUGCAUACAACGUAGAAGUGCAUAGAACAUAAAUCUCUGAACUUCCAUUACCUUCAUUGUUAUUUGUGUUUGCAUUGUCUUCACGGUUUGCAUUGACCUCAUUAUCAGCAUCAUUGUCUUUGUUGCCAUCACCAUCCAUAGCACCACCUCCUCCUCUGUCACCACCCAUAGCACCACCUACACCUGUGAAACCACCUCCUUCCAUGCCACCACCCGUGAAACCACCUCCUCCCACGGCUCCUCUCAACUUUCAUAGCAUGAAACCACCCAUGCCACCACCAAUGAAACCACCCAUGUAAGGAUGAAACUGGAUUAGAUAAUUUCCAUUCAAUCUAGUUUCGAAUCCGGAAAAAUGGAAGAGAAGUGUAUAUCCGACCGGAUAGAAAAAUAGACUUCGGAUAAUUAAAACGAAUUUGGAUUAGACGCCUCCUCCACGACCGCUGCGCAUACAGACGCUUCCUCCUCCCCUGACUACGACACCACCUCCACCGCCCGCAUCUACAUCUCAUCCUCCUCCGACGAAGAGGAGGCGGUUUAGGGUUAGGGUCUAGUAUAGGUUUAAAUUUCAUUCGAAAUCUUAUAAAAUAUCAACAAAUUUGGAUGAAAAAAAUAAACCUGAAAUCUAAACUUGAACAAUAUUCAGUCUACCUUAAGUACACGGACUUUGUGUCUUUGUCCUAAAACACCUUUUUUUCAUUAAAAGAAGAAACAUUUUUCAUUGUCGAUAUUCAAAGGUUCAUAUAGCUGCAAAACAUGAAUUAUCGAAUGUCAAAAAAAUUCUUACAAAAUAUUCAUGUCUGAGAUUUUUGUGCCCUGGUAAAAUUUGCGAAGGAAAAAAAAGUUUCUUCUACGUGGAAAAACAAAUGCAGUACUNNNNNNNNNNNNNNNNNNNNNNNNNNNNNNNNNNNNNNNNNNNNNNNNNNNNNNNNNNNNNNNNNNNNNNNNNNNNNNNNNNNNNNNNNNNNNNNNNNNNNNNNNNNNNNNNNNNNNNNNNNNNNNNNNNNNNNNNNNNNNNNNNNNNNNNNNNNNNNNNNNNNNNNNNNNNNNNNNNNNNNNNNNNNNNNNNNNNNNNNNNNNNNNNNNNNNNNNNNNNNNNNNNNNNNNNNNNNNNNNNNNNNNNNNNNNNNNNNNNNNNNNNNNNNNACUCCUUUUCAACAAACCGGAUGAAAUUUAUGCAAACUCUGCCGGAUUUUAUAUAAACAUGAUGGAUUUCGUACAAACCGGAGAAAAACGGUUACAUUUUGGACAUAUUUUCAACUAAAAACAAAACCAGACUACUCUACGGCCGGCGCCAGCGGAUAUGCAUUCUGACGACAUGAUACCCUCGACUAGUCUACUGCCGGCCGUGGCGGGUCUCCGACUCGUCCCCAUGACCGGCAGCAGUGAGCCCGAAGGUAUAUGCUUCAGUACAAAGGACGGCUUGCUUCCUCAUCGCUCAUCGGAGUGGAACCGCCGCCUGAUGCUUCAGCCGGAUGGGAAGGGUCCCUACACUACACGGACCAAAGUUGGUUCUUGGGUAAGGGGACCACGGUGGCUGGCGAGAGGGCAAGCCACUGGUUGUGUAAGGCAACGGUGCCUUGGCGAUGGCCUUCAUGGGACCCAAGCGGCGGCGGCCUCCCAUGUUCUACUUCUCCUCGAUAAUGGUGACGGGCGCGUACGUGUUGGCCGCCUCCUCAUCGACAUCCGCGCAACCGACUUAUUUCUCUUCUUGCAUGGUGCAACUACGCACGCGUUGACGACGCAUGCGUUCGCACGCACUAGAGGCGCGGUACGACGCGUCGUCGUCAAUGACAUCGACGAUGCCCAUGCCGCCAUGCUCCCCGAUGUGCCGGCCUGGAGCAACUCGCCACUCCUCCGUGAAUUGGCUUGGAGCGGUGAGUUGCUAAACCACGCGUCGGCUUGGGGCGACAACUUGCUCCGUCGGGCUAGGCAAGGACCUCGCUCGUAUGAGCCAGGCUCGGCGGGCCACCCAGUCGGUGUUUAUGCCGGAGAACUGCUCUUCCUGCUUGGUCGGAUGCCAUCGAAAGAGUGGAGAAAAUUGUGGAAGGAGAAGAUGGGGAGCGGCGGAGUGGUGCGAUUCUUGCCUGGCGUUUGACCUCGUUUAAAUAGAGGACGGAUGGGAGGAGCUUGCCCGACGUUGCGUUUAAUGCUGGCCCGCUCGUAAACGGACGUGUGGCUAGAGUAGAUUUCUCAGCUUCCACGCGGAUUUAAUGGAGCUGUUUGAAUGCGGCGAUGAGGCUUGUUCAGCCGAGCGUGCAGCGGGCGGCGCCAUCGACCGGCGCGCCACUUCAAUGGCGGAGGCAGUGAGAAGUCGCGUCCGCCCUGAGCUGCCUUCGAUGUGGAGCGGCACGCUAUAGAGCAGCAUAAAUGCGGGCAGAUGACGACGGGAGGGGGAAGGUUUUUUGAUGGGUCAAGGUGGUCAGAAGCAGGCGUGACAUCAGUCCGGACUCCCGCAAACCUCCCCCACGUUUGUCUCUGGUUUGCAGGAGAAAACGCGUCCUGACCGCGGUACGGACCAUGCCGCAGACCGGACCGAUGCAGAAGGUUUACGGGUCCACGUUGAAGACGCCUUAAUAUGUUAUAAAUUAUGAGGGUAUAAAAUACAUGAACAUUCCGGAGGCGUUUCCAAAUGUCUUGUUCUUUUCAUCCUGGAGGGCAUGCAUUUGGAUUUUCUUACAUCGUCAGGCGUUUCUAAAUGUCUCUUCUUUUCAUCCCGGAGGGAUGUGUACCUGGAGCCAUUUCACCUAUUAUAUAUCACACCUACACAAAAACCUACGUAUUUCACAAUGACUGACAAACUUUUCCAAAGACAAAAUACUGCAGUCUACGCAACACAAGGAGUGGGUGAAAUAUUCACAGCUUUGCACCCCUCUAGAUAUGCUUGGUAUCGUGGGAAAUAUGUAACCAGCAAAAUGAACCCAUAUUCCCAAUGUGGCCAUAUCCUUGAAUCAUCGUGGCAGAUAUACAGGAGGCCUCGCAGGGUUUGGGCGCCAGAAUCUACGAUGCCCACAGACAAAUUUUCUUUUGUAGCAACCUUAUGGUCCUUCUCACUGAGCUGGAUGAUAUUGUUCUUCAGAUGGCGAUUCUGUUUGAAGCAAAACUGAGCAAGGUCAGGAUGGUAAACAAAAUUAAGUAUCAGAACAUCAAAUGGAGACCAAAACAAGUGGCUAGUACACCGAUGGAUAGUCAACUAUUAUGUGCGCUCGAAAGUUGAAGUGAUGCAUUUGUUCCAGCAACAUGUUUUUUUUUUCUCCGGAAAAGCUCCAGGGAUCAAGGUUAACUUAAAUGCCUUCAUGCCAGAUGGGUAUAUUAAUUUACAUUAUACAGUUCAGAGUCCAAUAAAAACAAGCCUUCGAAUUAGUCACUUCUGUCAUAUAAGAGUAAAAUUCGUUGUGAGAUAUCGGAAUCAGAACUCAUGCAUAGGUUCAACCAUACGGAUGUAACAUAUUGUAUCUUCUAUAUAUCUGAUCAACCAAUCGCAUGCUUCAACAUAGUAAAAUCAGAACUUAGAUAAACCCAAGUACUCCCUCCGUCCGAAAAUACUUGUCAUCAAAAUGGACAAAAAGAGAUGUAUCUAGAACUAAAAUACAUCUAGAUACAGCCCCUUUUAUUCAUUUUGAUGACAAGUAUUUUCGGACGGAGGGAGUACUAACAAUCUCAUACAUAACAGAUUUAAGGGUAAGCUUCAGAUGUACUGUAAGAAGCUAAGCCACGACCACAGCAGAUUAUUACACAUUGAUUAAUUUUGAGAAAAUGGGAAGCUCAAUUGCACGCAUAAAGGGUUGUGAUAAUAGUUCAGCACUAGAAAAUACAAUGGUCAACAUGAUGAGUUGAUGACGAGGCUAGGAAGCUACCAGACCUUAUAUAUGACUUUCCUGUACUUCCACACAUGUCCAAUGUGUAGCUCAGAAAACAGUGAUACAACAAAAUGAAAGGUCCAUGCCAAUACACAGAUAAGUUGUUCUCAUCACCACAAAAAAUUGCUGCUCUCUAGCUAAUCUGGAGAUGGUAUAAAAACUGCUAGCUUCACUAAACGUAAAAUAAAUGGAGAGAUAGUAUUAAGGAUGGCUAUAUAUAGGGAAACGCAAAGUUAAAGGGCAAUUGGCACAACAUGCAGCCAUGCAGGACAUUGCUUUUCAGAUUGUGGGGCAAGUAAGAGCACUUAGAGCAACAGAAUGUGAAAUGAUGCUGAACUAGUAUCCGUAGAAUGGCCUAACGAAUCAAUCACACACCUAACACCACUCCACAGUUAUAGCAAACAGUGUGAUGGUUGAUGAACUAUUAAUAAGAGUACGAAGCAUCACAAAUGCAGCAAAGCCUAGCAAAAUUUACUCGAUUAUGAUGGUGUAUUAGCAAUGCUACAAAUUUGGACUUUAAAACACAUGGCAAAAAACCUAGCAAAAUAGAGGAGAAAUUUACACACACAAUGCACAUUGUAAAUCAUUGUAACCUCAACAGAAGCAAAAGGAAUACCUUGAAGGUUCAGCUUCAGUGCAGGAAAUAUAGGAGGCCAAACCAUCUUGAAGGGAAAAAUAUAAUAAGCCGAAUACGAAUCCUUAUCUUUCAUCUCAUACACUUUACGCAAUGUCUUGCCCUUGAUAUCUAGAUACAGUAUGCAUCGACCCAUCUGGAAGAACACAAACUCAGCGUUGUCCCCGACCUGCAGUAUCCGAAGAACAUCAAUAUGCUCAUCCUCAACAGUGUAAUCUUGCAUCCUCAAAUCAGCAACCAUCUCACUCAUAAAGAUGGUGUCCACCAGCAGCCAGUUGUUCCCCUUGUGGAGCCAGAUAUGAAGCUGAAGCUCCUUCACUUGAAUAAGAUAUACACUAGAUGCAUCAUCUGCCCGUGACAACAUGGCGUCUCUAUCUCCAUACUCCACCCCCUGUGGGAGACAAAUUGUAGAGCAACUUGAGACCGACAAAUCCAAGACCAUAAUAUUUCUCGGGGCAACUGUGAUAUAAAUUUUACUGUCGACCAUCACAAGUUUUGGGUCCCAUAGCGGAAGAGAUGGCUGGUCAGUGGCCAAGGUAUGAUGUGUGCGCCAGACACCCUGUUGCAACAUAUAUACUCGCACCGUAACCUUAGUGGUCUCCUCUGAAGACUCGAUCAGAACAUAAAAGUAGGACAAGUCGUCGCCUUGUUCUUUGGAGAGGAGACACGGCCAGAUGCAGAACCUGCCCUCCGGCCGGUUAUACCUUGGAAAUGGUAGGACGGUCAUCAUGUCUCUCUCAGGCACAAAGCGGUAUGCACUCCAAGUUUGAAUCUAGGGCCGUCUAGGAGCAUAGUUAAGACGCAGCCAUUCCGGCAGUCGAGGACGUGAGCCCGUAUGCACUGCCAGGUGUCCGGGCAGAAGCAUGCACGGUCGAUGACGGCGGCGAGCUCUGGUGGCAGAGGCAGCAACGGCGUGAAACGGGGCCCCGUCCCGGUGUCGAUGUAGAAGCCAAGCAGGCGAGGGGGGUGCAGCUUACGGAACCGGACAAGGAAGGCCUUGUCGGAGACGUGGCAUAGCCAGCGUCUGCAGACCAGGGCGGCACGAACGAGGGUGUUGGGGAAGCUGACACGGAGAAGGAUCUCAACGAGGAGGUUGUCAUCGUCGAGCACCUUCGAUACCGUGGCGGAGGAGUCUGCCACCGCCGGUUGCGGCUGCUUCUUACCUUCCAUGGCGACCUAAACAAUAAUGUAAAAAAAAUGGGUUAUACUGUGGGCUGGGUUUUGGCAGUACAGUAUAUUAAUCAACAAGUUACAUUAAAUAAUUGGUGGCUAGUGGUCUGGCUUGAGUCUAAAAUACUAAUACUCCCUUCAUUCCCUUAUACCAGGCCACUUCGUUUUUCAUGUCAAACUAUGACUUAUAACAUUUGUCAACAAAAUAUAGAUUAUAUGUCAUCGGAAAUAUAUCAUCGGAAAGUUCUUUGAAAUGUUACAUUCAAUGAAAUACUUUUUGUGGCAUAUAAGUCACUUUUUGUUGUUAAAAUUACUGGUUAAAUUUAAGAAAUAAAAAUAUGAAGUGGCCUUGUAUAAGGGAAUGGAGGGAGUACAUGGCUAGUGAAUCUGAUUUGGGACUAAAAGUCUAAAAUACUCCAUGGCUAGUGGAUCCGGUCUGUGACAAAGAUACUCAUUUGCUAGUGAAUGUGCAGUGGGGGCUAAGGCAAAUACUGAAUCCAAGACAUGAUCGGCAUCGAUCUCAUCUAUAAAAGAUCCAUGGUAAAAUACUCACUCCAUGGCUAUUGAAUCUGGUUUGAGUCUAAAAUACUCCAUGGCUUGUGAAUCUGAGAUGGUACCAAAAUAUUUCUUGGCUAUUGAAUAGUAAAAUACUUGAGUCUAAAAUACUCCAUGGCUUGUGAAUCUGAGAUGGCACCAGAAUAGUUUUUGGCUAUUGAAUAGUAAAAUACUCCAUGGCUUGUGAAUCUGAGAUGGCACCAAAAUAUUUCUUGGCUAUUGAAUAGUAAAAUACUCCAUGGCUAUUGAACCGUAUACUCGGCGGCUAGUAAAUCUGAAGCCAUCGACCAAAUGAGCACCAGUCGGGAGGCCUAGCUGGGAUGGGAAGGAUAAUUACCUCGGUCAAAAUCGACCCGUCGGGAGGCCCUAGCAUUACUGCGCCUCUUGCGACGGCCGGCGAGAGGUGACGCAGUCCGGCAGGAUGGGGCGGCGGCGAAGCGAUGGUGCCGGUGGAGAGUAGAGCCGGCCGAGCGGGAUGGGGGAAACCACUGGGUUGACCGUGUAGUACUUCACUAGCAGGUGCAGGUUCGCGGGGAGGAGAAAACCAGUUGUACGAGUACUUCACUAGCAGAUUUUUUUUUAAGAAAUUGUAGCCGAACUGGCUCCUACAAAACAACUGGGUUGACCGUGUCCACGUGCAAAACGUCAGCGCGUGCGUGGGGGUAGAUAUCCUCUCCUCUUCUUGUUCCUCUCUACGCGUCUCUCUUUUCUCUUUCUUGCGGUGAUUUUUUCUGCGGUCCGCCUCCGUGGCAAAGGAAAGCGAUUUUUUUAAGAAAGCCAUCAUGACUAGCUUUAUUAAAAUUAAACAAAGUUUACAUUAUCUACGAGCUUACUGACAACCCAGUCAGGAGGCUCGUCCAACCAACUGAAAGAAGAUUUAUUACAGAAACAAAAAUUAGCUAGCGCAUGAGCUGCUUGAUUACAAGAACGAUAAUAAUGCUUAAAAAUGACCUUCCCCAUCAAGGAACUAGUAUCCACACAUUCCGCGAAGAUUGCCGCCGCUGAGUCCCACCAUCUAGUUUGACCAUUACAGAAGUUAAUAACCUGUAGGGAGUCUGAUUCCGCUUCCAACCGAUUGAAUCCAAGAGAAUUAGCAAAAACUAGACCGUCUCUCAUUGCCAAAGCUUCUGUAGUGAUCACAUCUGUAUCGAAAGGGAUAAAUUUGCAUUGUGCCGCCACAAAGUUUCCUCUAACAUCCCGUAGUAUGGCCGCUGUAGCCCCCGCACCUUCAUCUGGAUAAAAAGCUGCAUCAACAUUCAAUUUAAUAAAUUGAGGGUUUGGCUUACUCCAUUUUGCUUCAGGGAAGCUAGGGGUGAGCGAUGACGCCAUCUGAUGAUUGCUCGCAAUGGAUAGCACUGACAACGCCCAUCUCCACUGUGGUGGAACUGAUUCAUUAUGCGUUAUUUGUCUUCGGAUCCACCAUAGGUACCAACCUCCCACGGCUAUAACCUGUUUGAAGUUCAAAGAUGGAUGGCAAAGGAAAGCGAUUAGCAGAAGCAUCUCCCAGCGAACCAACAUGUGAUUGAAUACUUAGGAGGAUAAGGGCAUCCCAAUUCACCAGGGUUCAAAUCCUGGUGCUCGAAUCUCAAGAUGGCAUGCCGACUCAGCCUCUCGGAGGUGCCAUAAGGGUCGGGUGUGCCUAUAUGCGUUCAUAUGGGUGAGUGUAUACGCUUGUAUAUGAACGUUUGCAUAUGUACCGUGUUAAAAAAGAUAAGCAUUUAGCAGAUUUCUUAUCCAUGGAGCGUGCAGAUAAAAUACUAAUAGAUUGGAAGGUUCGAAAGCUAGCGCACGCAUUUCGAUCUGGUUCACAAUGUGAUACGGGGUACAUGCAUGUGUGCAUGGUACUGCUAGCUGCAUGUUACGUCACCACCUACUCAGUUGUGUAGCUAGGUUUUUCCGAUGCCCCGAGCCAACUGCAGAGGAACAAUGUUAAACAGUAAUGAACAGUGAUAAAAUAUGAACAAUCAAUAAGGGAAUAUGUUGCCACGGCCCAGGCCAUGGCCAGGGUAGCCUGGGGUUUGGCUACGCGCUUGCACCUACUAAUCCUUCCAUUGAAUCUAGCUACUACCUCCCUUUUCUUUUCUUUUCUUUUCUUUUCUUUUUCACGACAACUAAUUACGGAUCCAUCAACUUGGGACUCGCUCGUGGAUGUGGAUGCAGAGAAUGUCGUGUCCUUGCCUUGGGGUAAACCCUAGGAUUAGGGACUGGGAGUAGGUAGCGGCGUGGGAAAGAAGAAGACUAGAGAGAAGGAAAAACAGAACACAGAAAGCUGAAGGCGAACUAUUCCAUUUCAGAUAGUUCUCAAUGAUGCCAUACAGCUAUAUGGGUUGAUCUUACAUCAGGCGCUCGACACUCACACGAUACCACUACACUUACACGGCCCACAACCCGCUAACUCGACUCAACCCUAUUACUUGAAUUCAAAUCAUUCACCGUUACUUGCCUCCUCCUUUGGUGGUUCAUUGCCUGGCUCUGCAUCGCCUGAUAGAGUAGGGGCGAUGACAAUGCCCUCUCCUUGAGGAGCUAUUUGUCCCCAAGUUGCUGCCUGCGGAAACCUCUUCUGGAGCGCGGUGUAAUCUUCACACAUGGCAAACUCAACUGGCAGAGUCUCCCAACGCACAAGCACUUGUAACAAGGCAACAUUGCCUUUCCUGACCAAACGCCAAUCCAGAAUUUCAGUAGGAGAAAGAUCUUCAGUAUCCAGUUGCGGCAGUUUUGGAAGGGAUUGAAACACUGGAGUGUGAUCGGGCACGUGUUGCUUACUUGCUUCAACUGAGAGAUAUGAGACACAUUAUGGAUUUGAGCAUCUGUGGGCAGGUCUAGUUUAUAUGUUGCUGGUCCAAUCUUCUACAUGAUCUUGAAAGGUCCAAAAUAUUUGAAAGCAAGCUUGGGGCGUGGUCUAUUGAUCAAAGGCAGUUGACCAUAGGGUUGCAGUUUCAGAAACACGUCUCCCCCACUACAAAUUCUCUAGGGGAGCGGUGUUUGUCAUCAUCUGCUUUACACUUCUCCAGAUCUCUUUGGAGAUGUUGUUUCAGAUGUUCAACAUAAGCUUGUCUUUCCUGAAGCCACUGUUCCAUAUUAGGAGAUGCAUCUUCAGGAGGUUUAUGGAAUUUUCCCAUGUGAGGAUCUUGUCCAUACAAAGCCUUGAAAGGUGAGCAGCCCAGAGAGGAGUGAUAAGUAGUGUUGUACCAUAAUUCUGCCAGAGCUAGCCGAUUAUGCCACUUGGUGGGAGAGUCAUGUACAACACAUUUUAGGUACAUUUCCAAGCAUUGGUUCACUCUUUCCAUUUGCCCAUCGGUUUGGGGAUGUCGAGCAGUUGACAUUUGCAAUUUGUGACCCAGAUUGCCCACGGUUCCUUCUAGAAAUGGCUAGUGAAGAUGGUAUCUCUGUUAGAAGUGAUUAUCAAAGGAAUGUUGUGGGGCUUGACAACAUUUUGCAUGAACAUUUGAGCAACUAUUGCAGCAGAAUAUGGAUGCUUGAGGGGAAUAAAGUGACUGUACUUAGAAUAUCUGUCUACCACUACAUAAUGACACUGUGUCCAUUUGAUUUAGGCAGUCCUUCCACAAAGUCCAUGGUCACAUAUUCCCAAGAUCGGGCUGGAAUAGGUAAAGGAUUAAGCAAACCUGGAUAUUUGCAAUGUUCAUGCUUGGCUGACAUGUUUGACAUUGUUAUACAAAAUUUUGCACCUCUUGUUUAAUACCAUUCUAGUGAAAUAACUUCUUUACUCUCUGAUAAGUAGCUUGAAUUCCACUGUGUCCCCCAAUAGGAGAUGCAUGAAAGGCCUCAAUUAACUUGGUGUGUAGUCCAGCAUUAGCUCCAUUCCAAAGUAUGCCUUUAAAUCUUAUUAGACCUUGUGACAGAGCAAAUCCAGGUUCAGCCAUAUGUGUUAUAGCUAAUCUUGUCAGUAAUUCCUGUCCUCUAGUAUCCAUUGCAUAAGAGUUCACCACUUCUUGUACCCAGACUGGCUGGGCAGUGGACACUGUUUGCAUAACAAAAACAUGUCCAAUUCUGGAUAAAGCAUCAGUUACCUUGUUCUUUAUGGCCUUUUUGUACUAAAAUUUAAAUUGGAGACCAACUAGUUUUGCCAUUGCUUUUUUCUACAAAUCAGUGUGAAGUACUUGGUCUUCCAAGUUGCAUAAACUCUUGUGAUCUAUUUUAAUUACAAAUGGUUCUCUGCUAAGAUAAGACCUCCACUUAUCCACUUCCAUCAUUACUGCCAUGAAUUUUUUCUCAUAAGUAGGCAACUUUUGAUUAUUGAUCCCUAGAGCUUUGUUGUAGUAGGCCACAAGGUGGCCCUCUUGAGUGAGGACAUCACCAAUACCAGUAUCACAGGCAUCUAUCUCUAAUGCAAAUGAUUUGGAGAAAUCAGGCAGGCCAACAUAGGUGUGGAAGACAUAGUUGUUUUAAGCUUCUCAAAGGCCACCUGGGCUGUAGGUGUCCAUUGGAAGUUAUUUAACUGCAACAGAGGUGUCAGUGGUCUUGCCAAAAUGCCAUACCAUGGAACAAACUUCCUAUAGUACCCAGUUAAGCCAAGAAAUCCACUCAACUCAGUGAAAGAGGUGGGUUGGGGCCGCUGUUGCAUAUCUCUUAUUUUCUCAUGAUCUGUGGCCACACUUUGUCAGAAAUCACAUGUCCCAAGUAGCUGAUUUGCUGGGUUGCAAAACAACAUUUGCUCAUUGAGGGAGUCCUGGAUAAGGGGGUAUCCGGACAGCCGGACUAUACACUUUGGCUGGACAGUUGGACUAUGAAGAUACAAGAUUGAAGACUUCGCCCCGUGUCCGGAUGGGACUCCCCUUAGCGUGGAAGGCAAGCUUGGCGGUUCGGAUAUGUAGAUCUCCUUCUUUGUAACCGACUCUGUGUAACCCUAGCCCCCUCCGGUGUCUAUAUAAACCGGAGGGUUUGGUCUGUAGGACAACAACAAUCAUAAUCAUAGGCUAGCUUCUAGGGUUUAGCCUCUACGAUCUCGUGGUAGAUCAACUCUUGUAAUACUCAUAUCAUCAAGAUCAAUCAAGCAGGAAGUAGGGUAUUACCUCCAUCGAGAGGGCCCGAAUCUGGGUAAACAUCGUGUCCCCAGUCUCCUGUUACCAUUAGCCUUAGACGCAUAGUUUGGGACCCCCUACCCGAGAUCCGCCGGUUUUGACACCGACAUUGGUGCUUUCAUUGAGAGUUCCACUGUGUCGUCGCAAUAAGGCUUGAUGGCUCCUUCAAUCAUCUUCAAUGACGCAGUCCAGGGGGAGGUUUUCCCUCCCGGACAGAUCUUUGUAUUUGGUGGCUUCACACUGCGGGCCAAUUCGCUUGGCCAUCUGGAGCAGAUCGAUAACUACACCCCUGGCCACCAGGUCAGGUUUGGAAACCUAAACUACACUGUCGACAUCUGCGGAGACUUGAUCUUCAGCGGAUUCAAGCCCACGUCAAGUGCGCCGGACAGUCUCGACGAGCAUGACCUAGAUCUGCCAUCGGACAGUACUCGGCUUAUCGCACGUGUGGCUGCUCCGGGAAACAAUCCGGAGCAGACUGUGCCAUCCGAGGACGGGUGGAUGGACCCCGCCACGGAGGUAGCACACUCAUCGGCCUUGGAUCCGAACACUCCUCCCACCUCCUAUGAGGUCGGUACCUUCGGACCCUCGGACUCGUUUCCGGCUACAGGAUCCGAACCGCGUACGCCAUGCCUAUCGAAUCCUAUUGGGCACCAGUCAUGGAGUUCACCUCCGCGGAUAUCUUUCAGCACUCGCCCCUGGGCGACGUGCUAAACUCAUUAAGGUCUCUCUCUUUGUCAGAAGACUCUUGGCUGAACUAUGUCCGGCUCGAGUGGGAAGCGGACGACGAAGAAAUUCGGCACCCACCCACCACCCACUUAAUAGCCACUGUCGAUGACCUAACCGACGUGCUCGACUUUGACUCCGAAGACAUCGACGGUAUGGACGACGAUGCAGGAGACGAACAGGAACCACUGCCUAUCGAGCGCUGGACAGCGACCUCAUCAUAUGACAUAUAUAUGGUGGACACCCCCAAAGCAAGCAAUGGAGAUGAGGCGACGGAGGAUAAACCCCCGGAGAAGCAAUCUAGGCACCGGCGCCAUAGACGCCGCUCCAAGCCCUGCCAUGGCAAAAAUAACGAUACUGGCACAAUAGAUGACAAUAGUCCUGAUGGUGCUGAAGACGAAAACAAUCCUGCCGAGCCAGGCUUCGAGCAGGCCGAGCAAGAAGAUGGGCAAACUAGCCCUAAGGAACAGAUAACAGAUGGAGAAUCAGAGGAUGAUAAUUACAUGCCUCUCUCCGAAGACGAGGUAAGCCUUGGCGACGACGAAUUCAUCGUGCCUGAGGAUCCCGUCGAGCAGGAGCGCUUCAAGCGCCGGCUUAUGGCCACUGCAAAAAGCCUGAACAAAAAGCAGCGAUAGCUUCAAGCUGAUAAAGAUCUGCUAACUGAUAGAUGGACCGAGGUCCUGGCUGCCGAGGAAUAUGGACUCGAGCGCCCUACAAAAAGUUACCCUAAGCGUAGGUUGCUACCUCACAGGGCCGGCUUUGGACCAGUGCGAGAGGUGCGACGGCCCGGGGCCCAGACUAAAAGGGGGCCCAUAGUAUAUACGCAGUAUAUAUAUAUUACGGAGUAGUGAAAAAAAUGACUAACGUCCAGCCCUGGUAGCUCUGAGCCCACCCAGCAAGCAGCACGCAACCAUCACUAGGGCCUGCCCAACCAAACCCAGGCAACACACGUUGCCUUGUCGUUCUCCUAUCCAGGGAGACGCACCGACACAGGAGCACGGAGACGCAUCGACACAGCAGCACGCCGCCUAACACCGACACCAGCGCACCGCACCGAACCUAGAGCUGAGUUUGGGGAUCAAAUCAGCAAGAAUUCGGGGAAGAGAUCAACUGAUCAAGAUCAUCAUUCAGAAGGUAAUAAUUCUCAGAUCAAUCUAUUCAUAAAUCAUAAUCUAUAGGCGAAUAUUUUCCGGUGGUCUCAAUUCUGAAACUUCUCAUCUAAAAACAUAACAUCUUCAAUCUCUGAUACUGUAUUCGUGUUUCUCACUUGCAGUAUAAUCAUGUUACCUAAAAAACAUCUAUCUGGCUGUGAGAAAAGAAACAACAAGAAAAGAGUAGACAAGUUGAUUAAAUCUCAGGAAGGCGCUAUGGAUAUGUUUGUCGUGAGGACGGGUGCUGCUACAAAUUCAGAGCAAUUAUAUAUCACAAAUGGUGAAGAAAAACCUGAUGAUACUAAGAAUGCCGUUGAGGAAAAUCAUGUCGAGGAAAAUCAUGUUGAGGAAAAUAAUGUUGCGGAAAAUGAUGCCGAUCAGCACACGAUAAAUAAUGCUACGGAAAAUAAUGCUGCGGAAAGUGACCAUGAGAAUCUUGGAAAUGCAGAUGAGCAGGGUUCUUCUUUUGAUAUAUAUGAUCCUAGAACUUGGAAUAUUCUUGACAAUAAAUCAAGAGAUAUUCUCAUUGAAAAAGGACCUAUAAGGGAAUACAAUCUUGAGUUUCCCGAAGAUGAAAUUAGUGGCAGGCAUUUUUCAUAUGAUUACUACACAAGAAAGUUAAGGAAUGGCGAGUUCAGUGAUCGGAGGUGGUUAGUGUACUCUAAACACAUGAAUAAAGUCUACUGCUUUUGUUGCAAAUUGUUUAAAUCUAGAAAAAGCAAAAGUCUGCUAGCAUCCGAGGGAUUGAAGGAUUGGAGACAUCUUAGUGAGAAGCUCAAAUUGCAUGAGAAUAGUGUUGAGCAUAUCACUAACAUGAAUACUUGGAAUGAGGUAAGGCUGAGGCUAAGUAAGAAGGAAACAAUAGAUAAAGACAUGCAACAAGAGAUUGCAAGGGAGAAGGAGCGAUGGAGACUUGUUUUAAUUAGAAUUGUUGCUGCUGUGAAAUUUCUUGCUAAACAUAGUCUGGCUUUUCGAGGAUCGAAUGAGAAAUUAUAUCAAGAUAACAACGGAAUUUUUUUGGGAGUAAUUGAAAUGAUGGCAGAAUUUGAUCCUGUAAUGCAAGAGCAUCUUCGGCGCAUUCAGAAUAGUGAAAUCCAUCAUCAUUAUAUUGGCCAUAAUAUUCAGAAUGAGUUAAUUUCCCUUCUUGGUCGCACUGUUAAAUAUUCUCUGUUGAGGAUAAUUAAGGAUGCAAGGUAUUUCUCUGUCAUCUUGGACUGUACACCUGACGUGAGCCAUCAAGAACAAAUGACUCUAAUUGUGAGGUGUGUAAACAUGUCAAGUACUACUACAAAAAUAGAGGAGUUUUUUCUGGAGUUCUUGAAGGUGGAUGAUACAUCCGGGCUUGGACUUUAUAAUGUGUUAAUAGAUUCACUUAAAUCUGUUGGUUUGGAUGUUAAAGAUGUUUGUGGACAAGGGUAUGACAAUGGUUCGAACAUGAAGGGAAAACACCAAGGGGUACAGAGCAGACUACUUGAAACUAAUCCAAGAGCAUUAUUCAUGCCAUGCGCUUGUCAUAGCCUGAACCUUACUCUUAGUGAUAUGGCAAAAUCUUGCGAUAAAGCUAUUACCUUCUUUGGUGUUGUGCAAAGAAUUUAUAUAUUGUUUUCAAGGUCUACUAAAAGAUGGCAGCUAUUGCUUGAUCAUGUUCCAAAAAUGACAGUUAAUUCUUUGUGUAACACUCGAUGGGAGAGUCGAAUAAAGAAUGUUCAGGCUAUCAGAUAUCAAGCGCCCGAGUUAAGAAAAGCAUUACUGGAAUUGAAGAGAACUUUUACCGAUGACGCCAAGACUAAGAGCGAUGCAAAAUCUUUGGCGAGCGCACUUGAGAAAUUUGAAUUUACUUGGCAUGGUCAUUUGGCAUGACAUUUUGUUCACUAUAAACAUGGUGAGUAAGAAGUUGCAGUCUAAGUUUGUGUGCAUUGAUGUUACUCUUAAACAGAUUGAAGGUGCCAUCUCAUAUUUUAAGAAGUACAGAAAUGACGGCUUUGCAACUAGUCUGGAUAUUGUGAGAUCUAUUGCAAUUGACAUGGGUGUACAACCUUUGUUUCCUGUCCAGAGACGUAUUACUAGAAAAAGACAGUUUGAUGAAAUUAGUGGCAAUGACGAAAAUAACCAGAAUGAACAAACGCAAGCAAGUGAGGUGGAAUCAUUUAGAGUUAAAUACUUUUUGGUGAUGAUUGAUGUUGCAAUUGCUCCCCUAACUACUAGAUUUGAGGAAUUGAAGAAAUUUGGGAGCAUAUUUGGUUUCUUGUUCAACUCGAAAGAGUUGAAGUCCUUGGGUGAUAAUGAUCUAAGAAGAUGUUGCACUAAUUUUGUCUACAAAUUCACUCAUGGUAAGUCAGCAGGUGUCGAUCUAGAUGAUUUCGUUUCUGAACUAAAAGUACUGCAGAUGACAUUGCCAAACACAUUCAUGUCAGCAGAUCAGAUAUUUGAGUUUGUUAGAGAUGCGGAUUGUUAUCUAAAUGUCUCAAUUGCUUAUCGUAUCCUUUUGACCGUACCUGUGACUGUUGCAUCAGCUGAAAGGAGUUUCUCAAAAUUGAAACUAUUGAAAAAUUAUUUGAGGUCAACGAUGUCUCAAGAAAGAUUGAAUGGAUUGGCCAUGUGCUGCAUUGAGAAGAAUAUGCUGGAUAGUAUUGAUCUUGACACUCUCAUUGAUGAUUUUGCGUCAAAAAAUGCACGAAAGUCUCGUUUCACAUGAUCACUAGAGGUUAGCAUGCUAUUUCUAUAUGUUUUUUCUGCGUUGUAACUUCCAUGAUACUUGGUUUGGAACAAAGACAUGGAAAAUAACAUAUGCUUGAUUCUACUAAAGAAAUAUUAGUUUUAUAAUUUUAUAGCAAUUUUAUAUUUUCAUGUAUCAAAUUGGAUUUUUCUCUCUAUUGGGCCCACUGGUCGGGUUCGCACCGGGGCCUUCAAAAUCAUAGAGCCGACCCUGCUACCUCAACUCGAGGAGGAGGCGUUAAAGCCCACACUACCAGCGCAUGAUGCGGCUGACCUGCCACCCCGUGGCCGCGACAAAGCGGUGUUCAAGCCCGAAGUCCAGACCGCACCCCGUCGCCAAACAAGCAAAAACGCGCAGGCCGGGGGCCACACGAAGGACCUGCGAGAUGUAUUGGAAAACAAAGCAGGACAGUCAAGAUCGAUCUACGGAUUGCGGGGGCGCGCCACAAUGCGCGAUGAUGACCGACGCGCCAGAUACACUAAACAAAAGUCCGGCCGGGCCAAAUACAACAAAGCAGAAUCAUUUGAACUGCGUCGUGAUGUAGCCCGACAUAGAGGCACCGCACACCCCCUAUGCUUCACUAACGAAGUAAUGGAUCAUGAAUUCCCAGAAGGGUUCAAACCCGUAAACAUUGAAUCAUAUGAUGGCACCACAGACCUCGCGGUAUGGAUUGAAGAUUUUCUCCUACACAUUCACAUGGCCCGCGGAGAUGAUCUACAUGCCAUCAAGUAUCUCCCACUAAAACUCAAGGGACCAGCUCGGCAUUGGCUGAAUAGCUUGCCGACAAUCUCCAUCGGGAGUUGGAAGAACCUAGCAGACGCAUUCCUUGACAACUUUCAGGGCACUUAUGUGCGACCACUGGAUGCUGAUGACCUAAGUCACAUAACACAACAGCCCGGAGAGUCAGCCAGGAAAUUUUGGACACGGUUCCUGACUAAAAAGAACCAAAUUGUCGACUGUCCGGAUGCCGAAGCCCUAGCGGCCUUUAAGCAUAACAUCCGCGACGAGUGGCUUGCCCGACAUCUAGGCCAGGAAAGGCCAAAGUCCAUGGCAGCCCUCACAACACUCAUGACCCACUUCUAUGCGGGCAAGGAUAGCUGGUUGGCUCAUAGCAACAACACAACAAGCAACCCUGGCACAUCAAAAGCCAGGGAUAGCAACGAUAAAACACGACGCAACAAAUAUAAGCGUCGCAAAAACGGCGAUAACGCCGAAGACACGACAGUCAAUGCCGGAUUCAGAGGCUCAAAGUCCGGUCAGCAGAAAAAGCCAUUCAACAAAAACAAUUCAGGUCCGUCCAGUUUGGAUCGCAUACUCGACCAUCCAUGCCAAAUCCACGGCACCCCAGUAACACCAGCCAAUCAUACCAACCGAGAAUGCUGGGUCUUCAGACAAGCCGGCAGGUCAAGUGCCGAAAACAAGGGGAAGGGGUCUCAAAGCAACGACAAUGACGAGGAGCCCCGAUCACCAAAAACGGGAGGACAGAAGAAAUUCCCUCCCCAUGUGAAAAUGGUGAAUAUGAUACACGCAACCUAUAUCCCCAAGCAGAAGCGUGAACCAAGGGACACCCAUGCAAUAAAGCCAGUCGCCCCAAAACUCAACCUAUGGUCCUCUUGUCCGAUCACCUUCGAUCGAAGGGACCAUCCUACCAGUAUCCGUCAUGGCGAUUCAACCGCAUUGGUCCUCGACCCCGUCAUCAAUGGAUCCCACCCCACACAAGUCCUCAUGGACGGUGGCAGCAGCCUGAACCCGCUCUAUUAGGAUACACUGCACAAAAUGGGCAUCAAUCCCUCGAGGAUCAAACCCACAAAAACCACCUUUAAAGGUGUCAUACCAGGUGUAGAGGCCUGCUGUAUGGGCUAUAUCACACUGGAAGUGAUCUUCGGACCUCCGGACAAUCACCGUACCGAAGAGUUACUCUUCGACAUCGUCCCCUUUCACAGUGACUAUUAGGCCUUGCUCGGACGAACCGUGUUCACUCGGUUCAACGCGGUGCCACAUUAUUCCUACCAUAUACUCAAGAUGCCUGGUCCACGCGGCAUCAUUACGGUAAAGGGCAGGGCCAAACUCCUCACUGCCGAAGAAUCCACUACCGCUUUCACAGCAAGAGCAACAAACAACACCUCCCAAUCGAACCUUAAGUCGACGACCAAGCUCACGGACCCUGUAGAAGGAGUCUGAACUACUGUGCGACAGGAUAGACCGGCCCGUCCGGAGCUUAAUUAGAAACACUCAGGCAAAACUUAAAAGACAAGCCACAUACUGCGGCUCAACCGCUUGGUGGCGAAAGACCAUUUCUUGCAUUUUUAUCGCAGGUUCACCUUUAUGUAGGCCAGGACGGAUGACGUGGAAGCAGCGCGGUCAUGUAAGGGAAUCGACAGAUACUCCCCUCUCUUAUAGUACGAAUGCACUCCGGAUCCGCAUACAACCUCCUCCCGCCUGGUCUUAGCAGGUUCUACAGUCAUAUUUCUUUUUUCCACAUUACUUGUACUCAUACGCUUAUACGUAUUACUCAAAUACAACAUGUGAGUUUUUAUGAUGUUAGUCUGUUGUUAUUUCUUAUUAAAACCCUUUUGUUGGAAGGCAGCUGCUUAUCGCGAGAUGCCUUAGUAUGCCAGGGGCUUCAUCAUACCCAUAUUACGGCAAAAAAGUUCGAACACCAUCACGACAGUUCGGCACCCCGAACUUAUAGCAUUAUAUGCAUCAGCUCCGAAUCAUGUGUUGGGUCAAUAGUUGGGUUUGCCCGGCUCCUAUGUUUUGGCACCUUACGCUCCGCUAUAUCGGCUAAGGUAGCGCUAGGAGAACUACUGCGAUUGUGUCCCGGUUCUUCCGGACAAGCACCUCAGUAGAGAAAGCCGAAAACUGACUAUCAUGAUGUGGCGAGAGCUGGUCAUCUGUUCGAGAGGUUGUCAAAUCUUUAAGGAUUUCUUCUGCAUAAUGCUAUAACCAAUGCAGAGUGCGAAGGAUCGGUUUUCUUCCGAUCAGGCGCUUAUAGAGCCCCUCGUGCGGUCUUCCGAACACCAGGGGCUGCGCCUACCAUACUUUUAAAUUCCUAUGGCUAAGUGAGAGUGAUAAAGCCCUAUAGUAUGAUUGCCUGGUUCGCUGUGCUGAACACCUCCUUCAAGGACCCAAAACUGGGAAAAGAGUGCUCAGGUUUAUCCCGAACACCCCCGUACUCACUGCAUGGGGGCGGAAGCCGACGACUGGCCAACUCUCAGGAUUAAUAUAUAAAAUGGCCACACAAGAGGAAAAACUUUCAAAUGACAGGCAAUAAAUAAUAGAAAUGACCUUGUUCAAACAUUACAACGGACAAACAUGACCGUAUUCAUGGAAAUAUAAUGUCCUUGGUGCAUUGCUCCGCUGCAAGGCGGGCUCCUUUCAAGACACCUUCAUAAUACAUUUCGGGCAUUGCGGUGCUCCUUACCCUCCGGCGGUCCCUUGGUCAUCAGCUUUUCCGCAUGCAUCUUCCCCCAAUGCACUUUUGCACGGGCGAAGGCCAUACGCGCACCCUCUAUACAGACCGACUGCUUGAUGACUUCGAGUCGAGGGCAGGCACUCACAAGCCGCUUCACAAGCCAGAAAUAACUGCUUGGAAUAGGCUCGGCGGGCCAUAACGGGAUAAAUAUGUCCUUCAUGGCUAGUUCGGCCGCCUUAUGCAGUUCGGUCAGCUGCUUCAGCUGAUCGGAGAAAGGCACUGGAUAAUUCGGCGCCAGAUACUGCAUCCAGAAGAGCUUAUCCGUAGUAUUUCUUCCUUCGGCUCGGUAGAAUUGGGCGGCAUCAGAUAUGCUGCCCGGCAGCUCCACAAACACCCCUGGAGAAAUCAAGAAUUAAAACUAUCAAACUUGAUCUCCUCCUUUAAAAAUACUCGCUUUAUAUAUAUAAAGCCUUACUAGCCGCAAUCUUCCUCGCUUCCUGGAUUUCCUUCAGGGCAUCCUGGGCUUCCCCCCGGGAAUCACUUGUGUCUUGGCGAGCCUGGGAGAGUUCGGAUUCUUUCCCUGAUAAACUCUGCUCCAAGGUCUCGCAUUUCAUCACGGCUUCUUAAAGCUUUCGCUCGGCCUCAAUAACUCUAGCUUUGUGCUUCUUACGGAGAGCUUGCUCUGUGGCUGCCCUCUUCUCGGCUUCGACCACAACCCUUUUAAGAGCCUCAAUUUCAUAUGUUGCCCCUAGAGCACAUCAUAAAAAUAAUUUUAUCAUGCAUAGCUCAACCAUUUGUGCCAAAUAAACAAGGUUUCCGCAUACCUUGGUUGUCCUCCAACUAUUUCUUCACUUGGCCAAGUUCUCCUUCGGCCAUCUCCAGACUAUGCUUUAGUCUGGAUACUUCUGCAGCAUGAGAGGUGGCAUCUACUACAGACGCCUGCUUAUUAAAACAAGUUAGAUGUCAUCACGUGAGUCUCCUGCGAACAUAACAUUGAUGCUCCGUCUGGUUCUUCCUUUUCACCGAACAGUGUAUCAGGGGCUACUAUCUAUACUAUGGCACUCUUCCAUACCUCGAAGCCUCUUAUAAGGCUGACGCGGGAUUCAUUCAGUCCGCUCUCAGCAGACUGAAUCUUCUCAAUCACCGCACCCAUAAGGGCACGGUGUUCAUCAAUGAUGGAGGCGCCCUUCAGCACCGCCAAUAAAGCAUCCAACACCUCUGGUUGGACAGAAGUCGCCGGUGUAAUGGGCACGCCCCCUCCAGCCAACGAAGGCCGCUUGCCCGAUUCCGGAGACUUAUUGACCUCCGGGAUAAUGUCCGGCUGGGGGCUGGAAUUAAGAUGACCCCCACCAUCGACAUCCAUGGGAGUCUUCUCUCCCGUAUGUCCGGACCCCGAAGUUUGGCCUUUUGGCGACACCUUUGCGAUCUUCCCCCCUCUUCCGUGGUUUAGGUCCUUCUGGGACGAAACCUCGGUGUCAUCUUCAUGACUGGGGGAGGGGGCCUUCGGGGGUGUCCCACUCUCCAUAGCAUCCGUACCCAUCGAAUCCUCCGAUGAGGAUUGUUCGGCACGGGACCUCACAGGACUGUAAAAAGUAUGGCUCAGGUUAAAAUAUUAUGCCACGACGAAUCUGGAUGCAUAAGCAUGUUCAGAUUUUAUACUCACGAGUUCACCAGGGGCUGGGCCCUGGGAUCCCACUCCGGACUGCUAUCGACGGCGAUAGUGGACUCCUCUAGAAGGGGAGUUUCCCCCCUCUUGGGCGACUCAGCCUCCAAGGAUGUGGAGGCCGUCCUUUUCUUUCUUUCCCCCGCGAGGGAUUCACCUUCCUCCUCCUCCUCCUCGUCUUCUUCGGAGGAAGGAUGGGCGUUGGAGUCUUCGGAUUUUGUAUCCGAGGCCCCACGGCGACGGAGGCCGCCCCUGGUCUUCUUGCCCUCUUCUUCAGUCUUCUUCUUCGGCGCCUUGUAAGGCGCUGGGACCAGCAUCUUCGUCAGAAGUGGGUCGACCGGUUCUUUUGGCAGCAGGGCUGGACAGUAGAUCCACCCCGCCUUCCUCGUCCAGCCCUAGGAGUAUCAUGAAGAAAAACAUUAGGCAUUCUGUUAAGGAUAUGCCAAUAUAACAUAUGAAUUGUCAACAUACGGUUACUUACCGAACUUGCAGGGCGGGACAGUUGGUACCCGUGGUCCUCGGUGGAGUCCGGCCAUGAUCCGCCGGACUUGAAAAGCACCUUCUAGAUGCCCUUGUGCGAGGAGCCGAAGAGCUAUAGCAGGGUCUGGUGCUUGGCUGGGUCGAACUCGCAUAGAUUGAAGCCCUGUGUUGACAAGGUAGAAUCCGGCGAAUCAACAUCACCUAGACUACAUUUACGAGCUUGAUGCUCUUAUCUUCCAUAUCUUGAACACACGUCUGGAGCGUUGAUAGUUCGUCAGACGAAGCCCAGUCCAGGCCCUUCUUGGGCCAGGACGUGAGGCGUAGAGGGGCUCUGGAUCUGAAUUCUAGAGCAGUGGCCCAAUCCUUGCCACGUGGCUCAGUGAUGUAAAACCACUGCUGCUGCCACUCCUUGACGAAAUCAUUGAAAGUACCUGUUGGCCAUGUAACAUUGGGAAUCCUGCUCACCAUGGCUCCUUGUCGGUGUCAAAACCGGCGGAUCUCGGGUAGGGGGUCCCGAACUGUGCGUCUAAGGCUAAUGGUAACAUGAGGCUGGGGACACGAUGUUUACCCAGGUUCGGGCCCUCUCGAUGGAGGUAAUACCCUACUUCCUGCUUGAUUGAUCUUUAUGAUAUGAGUAUUACAAGAGUUGAUCUACCACGAGAUCGUAGAGGCUAAACCCUAGAAGCUAGCCUAUGAUUAUGAUUGUUGUUGCCCUACGGACUAAACCCUCCGGUUUAUAUAGACACCGGAGGGGGCUAGGGUUACACAGAGUUGGUUACAGAGAAGGAGAUCUACAUAUCCGAAUCGCCAAGCUUGCCUUCCACGCAAAGGAGAGUCCCAUCCAGACACGGGACAACGUCUUCAAUCUUGUAUCUUCAUAGUCCAACAGUCCGGCCAAAGUAUAUAGUCCGGCUGUACGAAUACCCCCUUAUCUAGGACUCCCUUAGUAGCCCCUGAACCAGGCUUCAAUGACGAUGAGUCCGACGCGCAGAUUGUCUUCGGCAUUGCAAGACGGGUUCUUCUCCAAAUUCUCCAGAGUACCUGUUGUAACAAGCAGUGUCCGGCUUCCCAUCAAUAGUACACUCCUCGGCUUCUGUGCUGGAAUAAUGGCCAUCUCCACGUGUCGAGCGAAUGCGAGAAGUCGUGGCGUUUUUACAUUUGCCACCCUGACCAUGUAAGUAAAUCAUCUUAUUUAAAGAGACAAGGAUCCUCAGAUCCAAAUCACACCAUCCUUCCCCCCCACGAGCAUCCAUCAGAGCGCGCCCGGAAGAAUCCAUUCCAUCAUGGCCGGUCAUUGCGCCUCCUACUCUCGCUCCCGUAGCACUAAGCCAGGUGACUGGGAGAAGUGUUCUGUUCCCAAUAGCCGAUUGGUAGAGUUGCAGACCCAGGGGUUUCUCCCGCCCGCAUACAUGGUCCCCGUCCGAGCCGGACUUGCCACCUAUAAUGGCAGGGAGCAAGCAGAGAGUUUUCCCAAUCCCUCAAAGGGGAAGCAGGUAUGUCUUGUCCUGUUUCUGCUGAGGGGACUCGGAUUUCCAAUUCAUCCGUUCCUCCGCGGGCUCCUGGAGUUCUAUGGCCUCCAGCUGCAUCACUUCACCCCUGCCUCGAUCUUGCACAUCGCCAGCUACGUCACCUUCUGCGAGCUGUUUAUGGGAUGUGAAGCUCAUUUCGAGCUAUGGAAGAGGCUAUUUUGCCUCAUAGCCCGUACUCAGGAGGGGUCAAUAUAUCAAGUGGGCAAAGCCGAAAUAUGGCGCAUUGCCGGGACCGGAUACUUGUCUGGUACCCCGAAGAAGACAUCCGAAGACUGGCCUUCGGAGUGGUUUUAUAUGGAGGACAUCCCCCUUCCGGACCCUAUUCGGAUGGGCCUUCCUGAGUUUACCAAUGCCCCAUUGAAGAAACACCUCAGCUGGCGCCCACGGAGCCCCGAGGAGGAAGAUAACAGAGAGGUCCUUUUUCUGAUGGACAUGAUAAAGACCCUGGCCAGAUCAGGACUGACAAUUAUUGAAGUUAUGUCAAUAUGCAUAAUGCGGGGGGUACAACCACUUCAGUAUCGGGGGGAACCCAUGUGGCACUUCAAUGGAGAAGACGACGCCACCCACUGGGGCCGUAAAGGUCCGGACUCCGCCGCCGCUCUGGCAAAAAUAUUAUCUGACCUGUUCAAAGGAGAAGAAGAGGAGUUCAUCCGGAUCAAACCAAGGGAUGGAUUCUCCAUGUACAACCCCCCAAGCUGGGUGAGCUACCGUCUUUUACUCCAGCCCUUUACCACAUUCCUUAUCACAAAUAUUUACUUAGCUAAUUCAUAGCAGGAACUGCGAAGAGCUAUGAGGGAGGUUCACAGCCCGUCUCCACAGCCAGAGGAUCCCGACAGGGCCCUCGACCCCGGACUCAAAGAAGAUCCGGACACAUUUGUGGAGCUAAUCGAUAGGAACUUUUAUCAAUUAAGUUGUGAUGGUGCCUGGGUGGCCAUCAUAGCUGAUUAUCCUGGCCUACUCCUUGCAUCGCAUGUAAGUAAAACCAGAGUCCCAAUUCACAAUAAAGAUACCUUUCUUGCACCUUACCCACCGUAUUUGAACCAUGUUGUACAGGGAAGGUCAUCGAAACGCCGCGCCGAACCCGCGGCGACUCGUCAACAAGGAGUCCUGAAGCCAGGUCGGCUUAAAAGGAAGGCGGUCAGGAUUGAGACGCCGUCGCAGAGGUAUGAUUAAAAAACCUGCUACGUAGUUUAUUGUCCUUUGAAACAUAAUAAUGUCAAUGGCUCCCCAGCAGAAAGAGUACUCGUCGGACUACAUCCGGAGAGGCUGUGGGUCACGCCUCCACCAGCCGGGUUCCAAGGCCGGACACUAGGGCGGAGGUUAUCGCGCUGGCAAAGCUGGACAGUCCUCCUAUAGAGGACGCGGAUAGAUUAUCCGUCACAAACUCCGAAGUGGGGAGUGUCGGUGUCAAAACCGGCGGAUCUCGGGUAGGGGGUCCCGAUCUGUGUGUCUUAGGAUGAUGGUAACAGGAAGCAAGGGACACAAUGUUUACCCAGGUUCGGGCCCUCUCGAUGGAGGUAAAACCCUACUUCCUGCUUGAUUAAUAUUGAAGAUAUGAGUAGUACAAGAGUAGAUCUACCACGAGAUCGUAGAGGCUAAACCCUAAGAGCUAGCCUAUGAUGGUAUGAUUGUAAUUGCAAUCGGCGUUCUAAGGACCAACCUCUCCGGUUUAUAUAGACACUGGAGAGGGCUAGGGUUUACAUGGAGUCGAUUACAAGGAAGGAAAUACAAUAUCCGGAUCACCAAGCUUGUCUUCCACGCAAAGGAGAGUCCCAUCCAGACACGGGCCGGAGUCUUGAGUCUUGUAUCUCCAUGCUUCAAUAGUCCGGACGAUGUAUAUAGUCCGGCUCUCCGGAUACCCCCUAAUCCAGGACUCCCUCAGUAGCCCUUGAACCAGGCUUCAAUGACGAUGAGUCUGGCGUGCAGUCUUGUCUUCGGCAUUGCAAGGCGGGUUCCAUCUCCUAAUACUCCAAUGUACCUAUUACGACGAACAGUAUCCGGCUUCUCGUCAAUGUUGUACUCCUCGGCUUCAGUGCCUUAAUAAUGACCGUUUCCACGUGUCGAGCGAAUGUGAGGAGGCAAGGUAUUUUUGCAUUUGCCACCCCGAUCCUUCGGGCUAGCCGUCUAUUUGAAGAGAUGGGGAUUCCCAGAUCCGAACCUCACCCUUCCCCCCUGAGCAAGCAUCCAACAGAGCACCCCGGAAAAACCAUUCCAACAUGGCCAGUCGUCGCAGCUCUUUUGCUCGCUCCCCUUGCCCCAAGCCAGGGGACUAUGGAGAGUGUUCAGUUCCUCAUAGCCGUUUGAUAGAGCUACAAACCCAAGGGUUUCUCCCACCGGCGUUCAUGGUCCCCGUCCGAGCCGGAAUAGCCACCUAUAAUGGCGGGGAACAAGCAGAGAGAUCCCCUAAUCCGUCUCCAGAGGAGCGAAUAUGCCUCAUUCCGCAUCUGUUAAGGGGCGUCGAGUUUCCUAUUCAUCCGUUCCUUCGCGGGCUCCUGGAGUUCUACGGCCUCCAGUUGCACUACUUUACCCCAGAUUCGGUGCUACGUAUAGCAGGGUAUGUCGCCCUUUGUGAGUUAUUUCUAGGUUGUGAGGCUCAUUUCGGUUUAUGGAAGAAGCUGUUCUGCCUUGUCCCCCGCAACCAGGGAGAGUCCCUAUGUAAAGUGGGCAGGGCCGAAGUAUGGCGCAUCGCUGAGACCGGAUACCUAUCCGGCACUCCCAAAAAGGCACCAGAGAACUGGCCUUCAGAGUGGUUUUACAUUGAUGACGUCCCCCUUCCGGAUCCACUACAGACAGGUCUCCCCAAGUUCAGUAAUGCCCCACCGAGGGCACGUCUAAGCUAGCGCCCCCGAGGCCCCCAAGAAGAGGAUACUAGGGAAAUACAUUUCUUGAUGAGCAGGAUAAAGUUACUAGCCAGAUCCGGACUAACGAUAGUCGAGGUCAUGGAAAUAUGCAUAAUGCGGGGAGUGAAACCGCUCCAACAUCGGGGCAAUCCCAUGUGGCAUUUCAACAGGGAAGACAAUGCCACCCGUUGUGGCCGUAAGGGUCCGGACUCCGCCACUGUUUUGGCAAGGAUACUGUCCGAUUUAUAUAAAGGAGAAGAGGAAGACUUCCUUCACAUCAAACCACGGGAUGGAUUCUCCAUGUACAUCCCCCAAACUGGGUAAGUCGUUGUUCAUUUUCCCGCUUCACUUAUUAUGGCGUUUUUCGCUAAGAUUACCUGCCUCGAUAUUUCUGAGCAGGAACUGAGGAAGGCCGUAGAAGGAAUCUCCAGCCCUUCCCCGCAGCCAGAGGACCUCGAAAGGGCCCUGGAUCCAGGACUCGAAGAAGAUCCAAAUACGACUGUGGAGUUUGUCAACGGGAUAUUUUAUCGGGGGAGCCGUGACGGCGCCUCAGUGGAUAUUACUGCCGAUUAUCCCGGACUGUUACCUACGUCGCGUGUAAGCCAUACAGAAGACUCGAUCCUCCAAAGAGGACUCUUUCCUGAUGUCAUGCCUUAUAUCUGAAGCGUCGUGUUUUGGCAGAGACGACGGUCGGAGCGCAGGGCCGAGCCCCUAGGGACCCGUCGGCCAUAGGCGUUCGAAUUGGGUAGGCUCAAGAGGAAGGCGGUUAGGGCCGACACACCUCUACAGAGGUAAGGAAACAACCUGUCAUGUAAUUAUUGUCAUUUGAAGUAUAACAACGCCCUUUACAUCCUGGCAGGAACAGGAGUAUCCGGACUAUAUCCGGGGAUCCUGCCAACCACGCCUCCACCAGUCGGGCUCCAGAACCGACUUAGAGAGAGGAGGCGGACAUAGGGCCGAUGCCGUAUAGUCCUCUGACAGAGGACGCAGAUAUGCUCUCUGCCACAAAUUCCGAAGUAGAGAGCACCAUGAAUCACUGGCGUCGACGGGCCGUGCUUCGCAACAACAUCUUUUCCAAAGAGGCAUUUAAUGCUUUCAAUUCGGGAGACGCAUAAAUCCAGGCUACUCAAGGCGGGCUUGCCCGGGCGACGGACCAGUAUACCAAAGAUAUACGGGUAAGAAAGUUUGAUAAGCAUGUAUAGCAGUAGCCCCUGAGACUUGAAACGGUUGGAACAACAGUUUUAAGGAUCAAUUUAUGUGCAGGUUCUUGUAGAUAAGAAUGAGCAAUUGUCUUGGGAGCUAGAGGAGUGCAAGACCCAACUGAGGGCCACGGUUGCCAAGCUAGAGGAAUCCAGAAGGCCUCAUCUGGUAACAUUUAUCUCGAUUGUACGAAAAUGUACCAGUUAGCAACUAGCUGGUAUGACGAGUUUAAUAGAAAAUUCUGCAGAUAACCCCGGAGUAAAUCCGGAGGGUGGGAGAGAUGACGAGUCGCAUCUCCAGAGGCAACUAAAGGCUGGCGAGCGCAUUCUUACGCAAGUUAGACAGGAGAAGAAUACUCUCCAAGAUUGAAAGUGCGUUAUGUCGACUAGAGGGGGGUGAAUAGGCGAUUUUUAUGAAUUCUUCACUGAGGAAUUUGCCGGUGAGGAAAUUCCUUAGCGAAGAACUAUUAGCAACGGAAUAAGUACUCAGAAGUAAGCAUAACAGAAUACAAGCAUGGUCAUCAUGAUGAAAUGAAGACUAGCAAAGAGUACAGAAAGCGUAAUCACAGGAUAACACAAGAUGAAGACAAACAGACUGAAGAAAUUGAACUGAGGAAAUUGAGAAAGUCUUCAGUCAAAGUCUUCAAACACAGAUAUGAACAAACACUCAACACAGUAAUGAGGAAAUGAAAGGGUUGAGGAAAUAGAACCAGUUAGGUUGGUGAAGACAAUGAUUUGGUAGACCAGUUCGAACUGUUGUCUCAGUUGUACGUCUGGUUGGAGCGGCUGAGUAUUUAAACUCGAGGACACACAGUCCCGGACACCCAGUCGCUGAGCACACAGCUCAGGACACCCAGUCCUCACCGUAUUCUCCUUGAACUAAGGUCACGCAGACCUCGUCCAAUCACUCGUGGUAAGUCUUCAGGCGACUUCCAAACCUUCACAGACUUGGUCACUCGGCGAUCCACAAUUCCUCUUGGAUGCUCUAGACCUUGACGCCUAACCGUCUGGAAGAAGCAUAGUCUUCAAAGGUAACAAGCGUCGGAUCCACGCAGGAUCAAUUUCUUCAGUGAUGCUCAAUCACUUUGGGUUUGUAGGGGUUUGGUUUUGGGUUUUCCUUACUUGAUGAUUUUCGCUCAAAGUCCUCGGAGGAUGGGUUGCUCUCAAAUGACAAGUGUCAAGUUCUCUCGGAGCAGCCAACCAGCUAGUGGUUGUAGGGGGCGACUAUUUAUAGCCUAGGGAGCAGCCCGACAUGAUAAGACAUAAAUGCCCCUCAAUGAUAUGACCGUUAGGUGGAUAAGAUAUUUUGGGACACCUGGCGCGCAGCACAGCAACGGUCGGAAAUUUGACUCUCAAAUUCUUCAGGGCUAUCAUGUUCCUCACUGUGUAGGUAAUUCGCAUUGGCGAAUUCCUAACUCCUCAGUCAGAACAAAUUCAUCAGCAACCAGAAGAACUUCGUAUCUGUCACUGAAGAAAGUGACUGAACUGUAUGAGAUUUCCAAAGGCUUCACUCGAAGGGAUUGGUAGGUGUAGGAUUUGAGUUGAGCAUCACAUGGAAAUUUUUCCUUAGUAUUUCCUCGACCCCCUUUAAUAGUACGGUGUUUCCUAUGACUCAAGAAGGAGAAAAUGAAACUACGAAAACAAAAGUCUUCACGCUUCAUGUUCCACAAAUGAAUACCAAGUCUUCAAGGUCACACCAAUUUCUUCACUUUCAAAGUCUUCAGAAAGUCUUCAAAAUAUCAAAGUCUUCAGUUGAAGAACUUCAUUUUUAGGGGUCGAUUUCUCUGUAAAUAUCAAACUCCUCAUAGACUUAUAGACCUGUGUACACUCACAAACGCAUUAGUCCCUUAACCUAUAAGUCUUCAAUACACUAAAAUCACUAAGGGGCACUAGAUGCACUUACAAUCUCCCCGUUUUUGGUGAUUGAUGACAACAUAGGUUAAGUUUUCAACGGGGAUAAACAUAUGAAGUGUAUACACUGAUAUUGAGGAAUUUGAUUACAAGAUAUAGUAGAACUCCCCCUGAAGAUGUGCAUAGUGAGGAAUUUGCUUUUGAGGCAAUGCACAUUUGAAGAGUUGAAUCAUGGAGAUCUCCCCCUAUAUCUUGUAAUUCAUACACGCAUUUGAUAUAUAAUAUGAAGAAUUUGAAAUGCAUGAUGAAAUAUGGUGCCUGAUGUGAUUCAGCAUGCGUGCAAUGUCAUUAACGAGGAAUAAGCAUGCAAAGCAUAAUGCAACAAAAGUAUCAGCGCACCAUCGGGUUUAAGAUUACAACUCGAUCCAAAUAAAAGUUUCAGAAGAACGAGAGUUGUAACUUAAAAAACGCCCUUAAUAUAGACCCGCUUGAAGACUAACUCAGAUUUCUCCCCCUUUGUCAUCAAAUGACCAAAAGGAUUGAAACUGAGGACUAACGCCCCUGAAGAAUUUCAAGUCGAUGGAGGAGCGCCAGCGUUGUCGGGGUUGUUUGUUGGAGCAGGGCCUGCCGCAGUGUCGUCCAAAUCUUCAUACUCAUCAGUGUCACGCGAUGAAGAAUAAGAGCUGGCCACCAAGGAAGGAACUUUGACCUUCUUGAAUUUCUUAGGUGGAGGGGCAGACCAGUCAAAUUCUUCCUUGAGACCCAUAUUCUUCAGAUCUGCAGCGCUGUAGACAUGAGAGAGAACAGCCCAGGUACGGUUGAAGGUUUCAUGGAGGUAGUAUUGGUUUUUCUUCACUGCAUUGUGUGUUGAGGUCAUGUUGUGAAGAAUUGAACCAAACUAACGCUUGACCCAUUUGUGAUUGCGAUCAACCUUCUGAUGAAGACUGAGGAGUAACUCACGGUCAGUCAUCACCCUGGGUGCUGUGGCUUGAGGAUUUUGCUUGGCUGAGGUAUUAGCGGCAGAGUCAUGUGUGGCAGAAUCGUCAUUGGUAGAGUAAGAGGCAGCCUUGCGAAAUUGACCAUCCAAUGGACGAAUGCCUUCAUCGAUUAAAGCAGCGGCCUUGCCUUUAUCAUCAGGAGAUGAAACUGUCCGUUUGAGGACUUCAAUGGGAGGCAAGUAGCUACCGUGGUUCAGAGUGUCAGCUUUGUAAUUCAGUGAAGAUCUUGCCCUGAUGAAUCCCAUAAUCCAAGGAGCAUAGGGCUUCAGCUCAAAUGGUGACAUAGCAAUAUUGGCCAGAGUCCUCAUGAAGAAAUCAUGGAAGUUGACGGGAACGCCAUGAAUGAUGUUGAAAAGCAUAUUCUUCAUGAUGCCAAUGACUUCUUCAUCAUUUGAGUCAUCGCCUUUGAUAGGACUCAUUGUCUUCGUCAUAAUUCGAUAGAUAGUCCGAGGCACAUACAAUAAUUCCUUGACGAGGAAUUUGGUUCGUGGGGCCUGCCUUGGCUUCAAAGGCUUCAUCAGCACUUGCAUAUAGUGAUUUGAAAGUUCUGGUUCGUUGUAGAUACAACGAGCACCAUCAAGUGGAGGACUGAGUGGUAGAGCACGAAGCAAUUCAGUUGCUGGUGCCUUGUAGUGAGUAUUUUCAGACAUCCAGUCUAAUACCCAUGAGUUCAUGUCUUCAGCGUCUCCGGUGAUGUGCAGAGUUGCAUAGAAUUGAAGAAUGAGUUCUUCAUUCCAGUCACAGAUAUCAAUGCAGAAAUUCAGAAGUCCUGCAUCGUGAAGAACACUGAGGACUGGCUCAAAGCCGGGCAGAGACUCCAUGUCCACAUGAGGAAUAUGUGCAUGAUCGAAGACUUUGUCUUUGUUGAAGAGCACUGAGGAAUAGAAAUUGGCUUGGCUGUGUCACACCCUAGCUAGUCAUGCAUUAGAGUGUUGCAUCAUGUUUACUCGUUCAUCAGAAACUUGAAAUGGGGAUGACAGAACCCCCAGUCCCCUCUGAAACCAACUAGGGUUACUAAAAUAAUUUUUCAAUGAACCUGAAAUGCCCUUCCAAAAUGUCCAUCAUUUUAGCCUUGGUUCAGAACCUCUGACAAAAGUGGUGCACAUUUUUCUAGGCCAUCAUAGGGUCUUUGAAUUAAAUCAUAGAUAUCUGAAUUUGGGCAUUUAAAAUAAUAUAAAAUAUUUAAAUGCUCAAAUAUCUCCAAACUAAAAUGUUUCAUGUUGGAAAUAAUCCAACUAUGGACCAGGAGUAGUUUGGUGAAUUUUGGAGUUGCCUAGGUAUUUUAAUUAAUUCAACACAGUUGCAGAUAUAUUAAAUAAAACAGAAAACAAAAAAGAAAGGGGAAAGACUUACCUGUGCGGCCCAGCCAGCUGGCCGGCCCAGCUAGCAGCCGACCCAGCCCAACACUGUAGCUCCCCGUCGUCUUCCUCCCCACGCCCCGAAGCUGCUGCGUGCUCGCGCGCGCGCGGCCGCGCGGCCACCUCCUGCUUGCCGACGCCCUCCUGGCCGCGUGGACGAUGUCCGCAGCCCGUCCCGAUUCCCCCCUGCUCUCGCUCACUCUCCCCCGUUUCUCCCUCGCUCUCUCUCGCUCUCGGCCGAAGCACACCGUCGCCGCCGUUCGCCGUAGCCACUGUCUCCGGCCACCCCUCGCUCCCCCGAGUAGCUCAGAAGCUCCGCCACAACUCCCUCUUCCUCCCCACCGCUCCACGAGUCCCCGGAAGCCCUGCAUCGCCGCCACGUCGCCGUUCCCCUCUUCGGGCUCCGACCACCGUCGCCGACAAAUUCGCCGUCUCCAGCGCGUCCCCGAGCCCGCUUCGACGCCCACUGCAACCGCGGUGAGCUACGCCACCGUUUCCCCCUCUUCUCCCCCUCGAUCCCUCACCGUAGCUUCAUCUCCACCACGGCCGAACCUCCGCCGUCGCCGAGCUCGCCGUCGACGCAGCUCCGGUGACCAUUUGGUCACCCCGGCAAGUCCAACGCGUUCACAGAACCCAGUAGAGCAUCCCUAGCGCCUCACUUUGCUCGACUUCGAGCUCCAGCACCACUCCCGUGCACGACCGAACCCCGGCGGCCGCAGCCGAGCUCACCGCCGUCAACUCCGGCCACCCCGACCCCAACGGACUCCGCCAAGAGCCGCGGGUCGUCCUCAGCUUCACUCCGGUGAUCUCCGCGGUCCAUUUGGUGGCCGAAACGACCAAAACCACUAUCGCCGCCGCACUGUUGGUCGCCGCCGGCCAGAACUCCGGCGAGCUGACGUGGCCUAGUUAAUUAGCCACUAAACCACCACCUACAGACGCUGACAAGUGGGCCCAGGGCUUAGUCAAAGCUAACCAGCCCGGGGUCAACGCGGGAUUAGCCCCUGUGACACUGACGUGUGGACCCCACACGUCAGGUUUGACCCGAGCCAGCCCUGUUGACCUGCUGAUGUCACUGUGACGUCAGGCUGACGCAGUAAAUGAUAUUUCUGGAUUUAAAUUUAAUCAGGAAAUUCAGAAUAUUAUUUAAACUUCAAAAAUUCAUAACUUUUAUUCUGUAACUCCAAAUUGGACAAAUUAUAUAUGAAAAAUGAUCAGAAAAAUCCAAUCUAUCCAUCUGUACUAUUCUCAUGCAUGAUCAAACAAGUUAAAUUGAUGUUUUAAUCAGAACAAGGAAAAGCACUUUAAAAGGCCAUAUUUGAAUUUGAAAUUUGAAUCUUUGAUUCAAAUUUGUUCAAACACAUCUGGUUUUAGUUGCAUUAGCCCAACACACUCAUAUUGCCAUGUUUCAUGCAUGCAUCAUAUUGUUGCACAUUGUUUGGUGAUGCCUGUGUAUCGUUAUCCUUUGCGACAGGAUCUGUCCCCGAGGAGUACCGUGAUUACCCUAACGAAGAAUCAUAUCCGUGCAACGAACCAUCAGGCAAGCAACCAACCAUUUGAUCAUAUCGAUACAAUCCCAUGUUCUCGCUCCUGCUCUCUUUUACUGCAUUAAGACAACGCGAUUCAAACUGCUGUGUGCUGCGGUAGUUGAACCCAUUUCCUCUGCAUGACCUGUCAUUGCCACAGUAACUAGAUGAAACCCACUAGCAUGUGUAGGAGUUGAUUGAGCCAUAUGUAUGUGUUGUUCCUACCUUGCUAUGCCUGCUAUGCUUAGAGUUGUGUCAGGUCUGGUUCAUCUGGGUGAUGGGCUAGAGUGAAAUGAUUAUGUCGGUAAUAAGAGUGGUGUGGUGAACACGAUUUGGUAAAGGUAUCGAUGAGAGGCCAUGUAGGAGUACAUGGUGGGUUGUUUCAUUGAAGCCGACCUUAAGCACUGAGAUCUGUAUGUGUGAUUUAAGAAUCAGCUACUACCAUGCAUUGGGCCCGAAACCAAUGGACCCUCUCGACUUCUUAUUCACCCUAGUUCUCCGUCCAGGAGUUGCAAGUAGUUUCUGGUGUUUGUAGCCUACUGGAGGCCGUGGACAGCGCUGACCCUAGGGGUGGGCUGUGAUGCGGUAGGUACGUGGCACGGUGUACCGAAUACCCGUUAGGUAUCUCGGGAACCUUGUUCACAUCGUUCGGGGCCGUAUGGGAAACCUCGGCCGGACUCCCUGCGGAUGGAACCUGAAUAGGCGAUAAACCUGGACUGGAAGCUUAGGUGAUUAGGUAGGUCGUGGCCGACACCCACGUUGGGCUUCCGCUUGAAGGUUGCCGAGUACAUGUCGUGUAAACGACGAUAAGUGGUGAGAGCGUGUAUGAAGAAGUACACCCCUGCAGGGUUAACAUGAUCUAUUCGAAUAGCCGCGUCCGCGGUAAAGGACUACUUGGUUGCCUAUACAGUUCAUAGACAAGUAAAUGGAAACUAUUAAAAGCCUCAAGAUAAGUGUGAGUGCCGAGGAUGGCUCUUCCGUAGGAAGACGGAGGUGGAUCCUCGGUAGUGUAUUGAAGUGGUGAGUAGUGGACUCGAGUGCGCAAAACUAUUUCAAAUGGAGUAUCGUAGGAUAGUCUAGCCAGGAGUCAAAGCUGGCUUGCUGCAAUAACUCCACCAACCCUUCUUGAUACUAUGCAUGUAUGUAGGAUCUGAUGUAAGUCUUGCUGAGUACCUUUGUACUCAUGUUGCUAUAAUCUACAUUUUUACAGAAGACGCUGCAACCCCUUCUGAUGGGUUCUAUGUAGACGUUGACAUCAACGAGUAGGCUAAAGACCCAGGUGGUGACCCUGAGCUUGUGAUGGACCACAUAGUAUAGUUAGGCUUCCAAGCCUCUUUUAUUUUACUAGUUGUCUGUACUCAGACAAGUUACUUCCGCUGUUGGCUUGUAUGACUGUAUGACUUGUAUGUUGGGUCGUGUGACCCGUACCUGUGUGUAUGAUAUGUAUGGCUCCCUGAGCCUUAAAUAAAGUACUUGUGUCAUAGAGUCAUGUUAUGAUGCUUCGUUGUAUUUGCACAUAUCGAGCAUAUUGUGUGUAUGUUUGAAAUGCUUGGUAUGUGUGGGAUCUGACUAUCUAGUUGUUUAUCUUUAGUAGCCUCUCUUACCGGGAAAUGUCUCCUAGUGUUACCGCUGAGCCAUGGUAGCUUGCUACUGCUCUGGAACACUUAGGCUGGCCGGCAUGUGUCCUUCUUCGUUCCUGUGUCUAUCCCUUCGGGGAAAUGUCACGCUUUGAGUACCGGAGUCCUGUUAGCCCGCUACAGCCCGGUUUACCGGAGUCCUGCUAGCCCAGUGCUACAGCCCGGACCCACUUGCUGAUGACCGACACGUUCGAAGCUGGGUCAUGGAUGCCUGUCCCUGUAAGUCUGUGCCACUUUGGGUUUACGACUAGUCAUGUCAGCCCGGGCUCUUUAUCAUAUGGAUGCUAGCGACACUAUCAUAUACGUGAGCCAAAAGGCGCAAACGGUCCCGGGAAAAGGGUAAGACGACACCCGUGGGGAUACCGUGCGUGAGGCCGCAAAGUGAUAUGAGGUGUUACCAGCUAGAUCGAUGUGACAUCGAGUCGGGGUCCUGACAGCGUUGGCAUCAGAGCCGGACUGCCUGUAGGUUCUCUAAGCCAAACUGGUCGAUGUUGAGUCUAGAAAUUCUUUAGUUAUAUGUAGGGGAAUUGUUUGUGGGUUGGAACGUAAGGCUCUUUUACUCCUUAUACCUUAUGACAUUCUGAUCUGAGUCAGUCCAUUCUUCCGCCGGGGGUUAAGGAAUUAGGAUCUGUUCUCUCUAUCAGGUUCACGUGUUACUAAUCAGUAGUACCUUAUAAGUUUGAUGGUUAUCAGCCUAGCUCAGUUCUACUACCACAUUGUGUUGUAGGAAUGGUUUCAGAACCUUGAUGUGAUGAUGUUGAGUGUGUACGAAAUCCUUUGUCAAAUGUCUCAAUAUCCUUUUUGAGCAUUUACAGCUGUUAUGCUGCCGAAAUUUUGCUAGAAAUUCUAAUGCCUUUGCAUUAUGAUUAUGCUUUCAGAUGGCCACUCGCGACCUCAAUCAAGUGGUUCGCCUGACUCGAUGCCUAGAUGUACCCGGCCAUACUGCUAAGUUGGUCAGGGUAAUGACUGAGGCUGGAUACCGCUGGUAUCCUGAGUACACGGUCGAAGAGCAAUUCCGAGACUUUAAUCAAAGCCAGUAUCUCUGCACUGUCAGGAUAUUUCCAUCUUAUCCUGGAUCCACUGAGCCUCUUCACUGCUCCUAUGGACUCGGGGUUACUAUCGAGAUGGCUGUGCAGGAUGCCGCCUACUCUAUGAUGACCAUUAUGCGAGUCAGAUCUGGGUUAUUUCGGGACUCUGACUUCCGGUAUAUGCCAGGAUCACUUCCAGGAGCACAAGGGUAUCUCCAGGCUAUCUAUGCUGACUCCACUCAGGAGGAUUCACGGACUCGCACCACUGCUGAGAUGCUCGAGGAUAAGGACCUUGAAAAUCGGGCCUUAAGGUUAGAGCUCUUCAAUACCCGUGCUGACCACUGGGCCACCUUGACUCGGUUCGCACCGGCGGUGCAAGCUGGAUAUUCAGAUAUGCGUGAUCUCUAUCCUGUGAGAUCUGCUCUGCCGGACGUGAUGGUUUGGCGUGAUGUAGGAGGCAUCACCCCACCUCGCGGUCCCCGCAGGCCACCGUUUGUUGGUCCACGACCUCAUCCUAGCCCCUAUGGUCCACAAGCUCCGCGAGACCGUCUGUUUCCGGAUGAUCAUGUUGAACUUCCAGGCUAUGGAGGUGACUUCUACGAGGACUACUACGGAUCGGUCUGAGUUAGUAGUAGUAUCACUAGUUCGCACUAGCUGUGUCGUCUAUUGUCCUGCGUGUCUCAUGGGAUAUGACCUAGUUUGUACUCUUCCGGAGAUGUAGAAAAAUAAUGUAUAGGAGCUUGGAAUGCCUCCGAUGAGAUGUAAUCCUUUUCUCACCGUAAUAGUACUUUGUUUGGUCUUGUACUAAACCUUGUAUGGUGUGUAUGACGAUGGAAUAAAGAAGCAGUUUCUGUAUCUACCAUGUCAUACGGAUGAUCAUCUUGCAUUCCGAGUUAUUUCUUACAUUAUGUAUCCCAUGUCGGAAUUUCAUCAUUCUGACUAAAUCAUUGUCUUGUUUACCUAGGAUGGUCAACACACGCGCUAAUCCUGCUUCCCAAGAGCAGGCCGAAGGCAGUGAAGCCAGGAAUGAAAAUCUGCCUCAUCCUCCUUCACUAGCCGAAGUGAUGAUGGAAGCUGAGAGAAACAAGCGGGAGACAAACCGGUUGUUGGAGCGUAUUGAACAGAACACAGCACACCAUCAGAGGGCUAACGUGGUGUCACUCAGUGAUUUUAUCAAAUUGCAUCCACCCACGUUCCACCACUCCGUCGAGCCUCUCGACGCUGAUGACUGGCUUCGCAGUAUCUCUCACAAACUGCGUUCGGCGCUGGUAGCUGAGGCUGACAAGGUCACCUUUGCUGCAUAUCAUCUUGAAGGCCCCACCAGUCUAUGGUGGGAGAAUUAUGGAGCUAUGCGCCCAGCAGGCCAUGUCACAACUUGGGCUGAAUUCAGCGACGCUUUCCGUGAACACCACAUUCCGGAGGGUCUCAUGGACCGUAAGCGUGAAGAAUUUUGCAAUUUCACCCAAGGCCGACUUUCUGUGGAUGUCUAUAGCAGGGAGUUUGGUAAUCUCGCCCGAUAUGCAACUGAGGAAGUUUCUACUGACGCCAAGAAGCAAGCAAGGUUCCGCAAGGGCCUUAGUCCUGAGCUUCGCCGCGACCUUUGUCUGCAUGAGUGCACAUCCUUCUCGAAACUUGUCAACAAAGCCAUCAGUGCUGAAACUGGUCAGACUAACUAUGACGCAACACGCAAGCAUGGACGUGACACGGGUUCCUCAUCCGGUGCUGGUCCUCAGAAGCGCCGCGUGUGGGUACCCAACACCGCCUUGCCACCCAGGUUCACACCGAGGCCAUCUUUCCAGGCGCCUCGCCCCGCUCAACAGUCUGCUCCAGCCAAGCCCUAUGGGGGUCCAACCAAUAAUGCUCCUCCACGUACCAGUUCCGUGACUUGUUUCAAGUGUGGGGAAUCUGGUCACUAUAUGCGUGAGUGUCCCCAGACCAACCCCAAUCAAUCUGCUAAAGCUGUUGGCCGUGGCAAGCCGACAGGGAAAGUAUUCCACGCUAAACCGGUCACCGCUUCACGUGGCCAUGUCAACUGUGUCUCUGCCGAAGAAGCUCAAGAAGAUCCCAACGUCGUUCUCGGUACGCUUCUUGUUAAUUGCCACCCGACAUCUGUCCUUUUCGAUACAGGAGCCUCUCAUUCCUUUAUAUCUGAAAAUUAUGUUCGUUUGCAUAACGUUGCAUUCUGUGAUCUGCCGUCCACUAUGGAAAUCUCUACCCCUGGGUCUAGAUGGCAGACCUCUAGGGUAAGUUAUGGAAAUGAGAUCCAAGUCGACAGACUUGUUUUCCUCGCAUCUUUGAUAGCCCUUAAAUCUUCAGAUAUUAAUAUCAUUUUGGGUAUGGACUGGAUGUCAGCUCAUCAAGCCAAAAUUGAUUGCUUCUCUAGGACCGUUCAACUCACCCAUCCUUCGGGCAAGAUAGUCAAUGUUUUGACUCGAAUAGCCAAGCGACAAUUAUAUUCUCUUAACGCCAGCCCUUUGCCAGACCUUGAGGACGUUCCGGUAGUCCGUGACUUUCCGGAUGUCUUUCCAGAGGAAUUGCCAGGUGUUCCACCUGACAGGGAUGUUGAGUUUGUAAUAGACCUCAUCCCCGGAACCGUUCCGAUUGCUAGAAGGCCUUAUAAGAUGGCACCCCUAGAACUAGCCGAGCUUAAGAAACAACUCGAUGAGUCCUUGAAAAAGGGUUUCAUCCGCCCCAGUUCAUCUCCGUGGGCUUGCCCCGUCCUAUUCGUUAAGAAGAAGGAUGGUACGGACCGGAUGGUUGUAGAUUACCGACCUGUCAAUUUGGUCACGAUCAAGAACAAAUAUCCACUUCCCAGGAUCAACGACCUGUAUGAUCAGCUCGCUGGAUCUUCAGUCUUCUCUAAGAUGGAUUUGAGGUUGGGCUAUCAUCAAAUCAAAAUCAGAAACGGGGACAUUCCUAAAACGGCCUUUGUUACUCGUUAUGGCCAAUACGAGUACACCGUCAUGUCCUUCGGUUCAACCAACGCUCCAGCCACCUUUUCUCGGUUAAUGAACUCAAUCUUCAUGGAGUAUUUGGAUAAAUUCGUCGUAGUUUAUCUCGAUGAUAUACUCAUCUACUCCAAGAACGAGGAAGAACAUGCCGAACAUCUAAGACUAGUGUUGCAGAAACUUCGAGAGCAUCGCCUUUAUGCCAAAUUUUCUAAAUGUGAAUUCUGGUUGCCAGAAGUGACCUAUCUGGGUCAUGUAAUAUCUGGUAAAGGUAUUGCUGUUAACCCCGAGCGAGUUCAAGCCGUCCUUGAUUGGACUCCACCUGAAUCGGUCAAGCAAGUUCGGAGUUUUCUAGGCUUAGCGAGCUAUUGUCGUCGCUUUGUCGAGAACUUCUCCAAAGUUGCUAAACCUCUAACCGAACUCCUCAAGAAAGAUAAGAAGUUCGAAUGGACUCCACAAUGUGAGCACAGUUUCCAGGAACUGAAAAGACGCCUGACUUCUGCUCCUGUGCUGGUACCGCCAGACUUCUCCAAGGACUUUGUUAUCUACUGCGACGCCUCGCGACAAGGACUAGGUUGCAUUCUUAUGCAAGAUCGACACGUAAUUGCUUACGCUUCACGGCAAUUGCACCCACAUGAGGAGAAUUAUCCUACUCAUGAUUUAGAACUUGCAGCCGUAGUCUAUGCACUUAAGACCUGGCGACAUUACCUCCUCGGUAAUCGUUGCCAAAUAUUCACUGAUCACCAAAGUCUGAAGUACAUUUUCACCCAACCGGAUUUGAAUCUCAGACAGAGACGUUGGGUUGAAUUGAUCACAGACUUCGACUUAGGGAUAACCUAUACCCCAGGGAAAGCCAACGUCAUGGCUGAUGCGCUAAGUCGUAAAUCUUAUUGUAACAACCUGAUGUUACAACAAAGUCAACCGCUUCUCCAUGAGGAAUUUCGGAAGCUUAACCUUCACAUUGUACCUCAAGGUUUUCUUUCCACCUUGGUGGCAAAACCUACUCUUACGGAUCAAAUCAUCGCUGCCCAAAAGCGAGAUAAGGGAAUAUCUAAAAUCAAAGAGAACAUUGCUAGCGGAGGUGCUAGUUGUUUCUCCACAAAUGAUCAUGGUGUUGUGUACUUUGAGAAUCGUCUAGUGGUUCCCAAGAACCAGCAUCUGCGGCAGUUGAUCCUUAAGGAGGCCCAUGAAUCUCCUCUCACCAUUCAUCCCGGUAGUACUAAGAUGUAUCAGGACCUACGCCAGAGGUUCUGGUGGACUAGGAUGAAGAGAGAAAUUGCUCAGUAUAUUGCAAAUUGCGACGUCUGUCGUCGUGUAAAAGCAGAGCACCAACGGCCUGCUGGCACACUUCAACACUUAGCUAUUCCUGAAUGGAAAUGGGAUAAAAUUGGUAUGGAUUUCAUUACCAGUUUUCCCAGGACCAAGAGAGGGAAUAAUGCUAUUUUCGUCGUGGUCGAUCGUCUUUCCAAAGUAGCUCAUUUCCUACCUGUUCGUGAGAGUAUAACCGCUAGUCAGCUGGCAGACUUAUACAUCUCCCGGAUAGUGUCUCUUCAUGGUGUUCCUUUGGAAAUCAAUUCGGAUCGAGGAAGUCUUUUCACCUCUCGAUUUUGGGAAAGUUUCCAAAAUGCUAUGGGAACCCGUCUCUCCUUUAGCACCGCUUUCCACCCUCAGUCAAGUGGUCAAGUGGAACGCGUCAAUCAGAUUCUAGAAGACAUGCUUCGAGCCUCCGUUAUCUCUUUCGGAAUGGACUGGGAGAAGUGCCUUCCAUUUGCCGAAUUCGCUUACAACAACAGCUAUCAAUCUAGCUUGGGUAAAGCCCCUUUUGAAGUUCUCUAUGGACGACGAUGUCGAACACCCCUUAACUAGUCAGAGACCGGGGAAAGACAAUUCUUUGGCCCGGAUAUGAUUCAGGAAGCAGAAGAACAAGUUCGUAUCGUUCGUGAAAAGUUGAAAACAGCCCAAUCCCGUCAAAAGAGUCAAUAUGACCGAAAACAUAAGGCUAUGACUUUCGAGGUUGACGAGAAGGCUUACCUUCGGGUCACCCCUCUGAAGGGAACCCAUCGUUUCGGUAUCAAAGGCAAAUUGGCUCCUCGUUACAUUGGACCUUUUCGCAUUCUUGCCAAACGAGGAGAAGUUGCCUACCAAUUGGAACUACCUCCGCACCUCUCCAGAGUUCACGAUGUCUUCCACGUUUCUCAACUCAGGCGUUGCUUCUCGGAUCCUAUCCGUGAAGUGGACCACGAAACGCUUGAUCUCCAAGAUAAUCUUACAUAUCGAGAGUACCCCAUUCGUAUCCUCGAUCAAACCGAACGUACCACGCGACGUCAUAAUAUCAAGUUUCUCAAGGUUCAAUGGUCGCACCAUUCUAAGGAUGAAGCAACUUGGGAAAGGGAGGAUCGUCUUCGACUCGAAUAUCCCGCCUUCUUCUCGAAGGAACCCAAAUCUCGGGACGAGAUUCUUUUGAGUGGGGGUGAGUUGUCACACCCUAGCUAGUCAUGCAUUAGAGUGUUGCAUCAUGUUUACUCGUUCAUCAGAAACUUGAAAUGGGGAUGACAGAACCCCCAGUCCCCUCUGAAACCAACUAGGGUUACUAAAAUAAUUUUUCAAUGAACCUGAAAUGCUCUUCCAAAAUGUCCAUCAUUUUAGCCUUGGUUCAGAACCUCUGACAAAAGUGGUGCACAUUUUUCUAGGCCAUCAUAGGGUCUUUGAAUUAAAUCAUAGAUAUCUGAAUUUGGGCAUUUAAAAUAAUAUAAAAUAUUUAAAUGCUCAAAUAUCUCCAAACUAAAAUGUUUCAUGUUGGAAAUAAUCCAACUAUGGACCAGGAGUAGUUUGGUGAAUUUUGGAGUUGCCUAGGUAUUUUAAUUAAUUCAACACAGUUGCAGAUAUAUUAAAUAAAACAGAAAACAAAAAAGAAAGGGGAAAGACUUACCUGUGCGGCCCAGCCAGCUGGCCGGCCCAGCUAGCAGCCGACCCAGCCCAACACUGUAGCUCCCCGUCGUCUUCCUCCCCACGCCCCGAAGCUGCUGCGUGCUCGCGCGUGCGCGGCCGCGCGGCCACCUCCUGCUUGCCGACGCCCUCCUGGCCGCGUGGACGACGUCCGCAGCCCGUCCCGAUUCCCCCCUGCUCUCGCUCACUCUCCCCCGUUUCUCCCUCGCUCUCUCUCGCUCUCGGCCGAAGCACACCGUCGCCGCCGUUCGCCGUAGCCACUGUCUCCGGCCACCCCUCGCUCCCCCGAGUAGCUCAGAAGCUCCGCCACAACUCCCUCUUCCUCCCCACCGCUCCACGAGUCCCCGGAAGCCCUGCAUCGCCGCCACGUCGCCGUUCCCCUCUUCGGGCUCCGACCACCGUCGCCGACAAAUUCGCCGUCUCCAGCGCGUCCCCGAGCCCGCUUCGACGCCCACUGCAACCGCGGUGAGCUACGCCACCGUUUCCCCCUCUUCUCCCCCUCGAUCCCUCACCGUAGCUUCAUCUCCACCACGGCCGAACCUCCGCCGUCGCCGAGCUCGCCGUCGACGCAGCUCCGGUGACCAUUUGGUCACCCCGGCAAGUCCAACGCGUUCACAGAACCCAGUAGAGCAUCCCUAGCGCCUCACUUUGCUCGAAUUCGAGCUCCAGCACCACUCCCGUGCACGACCGAACCCCGGCGGCCGCAGCCGAGCUCACCGCCGUCAACUCCGGCCACCCCGACCCCAACGGACUCCGCCAAGAGCCGCGGGUCGUCCUCAGCUUCACUCCGGUGAUCUCCGCGGUCCAUUUGGUGGCCGAAACGACCAAAACCACUAUCGCCGCCGCACUGUUGGUCGCCGCCGGCCAGAACUCCGGCGAGCUGACGUGGCCUAGUUAAUUAGCCACUAAACCACCACCUACAGACGCUGACAAGUGGGCCCAGGGCUUAGUCAAAGCUAACCAGCCCGGGGUCAACGCGGGAUUAGCCCCUGUGACACUGACGUGUGGACCCCACACGUCAGGUUUGACCCGAGCCAGCCCUGUUGACCUGCUGAUGUCACUGUGACGUCAGGCUGACGCAGUAAAUGAUAUUUCUGGAUUUAAAUUUAAUCAGGAAAUUCAGAAUAUUAUUUAAACUUCAAAAAUUCAUAACUUUUAUUCUGUAACUCCAAAUUGGACAAAUUAUAUAUGAAAAAUGAUCAGAAAAAUCCAAUCUAUCCAUCUGUACUAUUCUCAUGCAUGAUCAAACAAGUUAAAUUGAUGUUUUAAUCAGAACAAGGAAAAGCACUUUAAAAGGCCAUAUUUGAAUUUGAAAUUUGAAUCUUUGAUUCAAAUUUGUUCAAACACAUCUGGUUUUAGUUGCAUUAGCCCAACACACUCAUAUUGCCAUGUUUCAUGCAUGCAUCAUAUUGUUGCACAUUGUUUGGUGAUGCCUGUGUAUCGUUAUCCUUUGCGACAGGAUCUGUCCCCGAGGAGUACCGUGAUUACCCUAACGAAGAAUCAUAUCCGUGCAACGAACCAUCAGGCAAGCAACCAACCAUUUGAUCAUAUCGAUACAAUCCCAUGUUCUCGCUCCUGCUCUCUUUUACUGCAUUAAGACAACGCGAUUCAAACUGCUGUGUGCUGCGGUAGUUGAACCCAUUUCCUCUGCAUGACCUGUCAUUGCCACAGUAACUAGAUGAAACCCACUAGCAUGUGUAGGAGUUGAUUGAGCCAUAUGUAUGUGUUGUUCCUACCUUGCUAUGCCUGCUAUGCUUAGAGUUGUGUCAGGUCUGGUUCAUCUGGGUGAUGGGCUAGAGUGAAAUGAUUAUGUCGGUAAUAAGAGUGGUGUGGUGAACACGAUUUGGUAAAGGUAUCGAUGAGAGGCCAUGUAGGAGUACAUGGUGGGUUGUUUCAUUGAAGCCGACCUUAAGCACUGAGAUCUGUAUGUGUGAUUUAAGAUACAGCUACUACCAUGCAUUGGGCCCUGAAAUAUGACCCCGCUCGACUUCUUAUUCACCCUAGCUCUCUGUCCAGGAGUUGCAAGUAGUUUCUGGUGUUUGUAGCCUAUUGGAGGCCGUGGACAGCGCUGACCGUAGGGGUGGGCUGUGAUGCGGUAGGUACGUGGCCGGGUGUACCGAAUACCCGUUAGGUAUCUCGGGAACCCUGUUCACAUCGUUCGGGGCCGUAUGGGAAACCUCGGCCGGACUCCCUGCGGAUGGAACCUGAAUAGGCGAUAAACCUGGACUAGAGGCUUAAGUGUUUAGGUAGGUCGUGGUCUACACCCACGUCGGCUUUCACUUGAAGUCUGCCGAGCACAUGUCGUGUGCAGACGCUAAGUGGUGGAAACAUGUAUGAAGAAGUACACCCCUGCAGGGUUAACAUGAUCUAUUCGAAUAGCCGCGUCCGCGGUAAAGGACUACUUGGUUGCCUAUAUAGUUCAUAGACAAGUAAAUGGAAACUGUUAAAAGCCUCAAGAUAAGUGUGAGUGCCGAGGAUGGCUCUUCCGUAGGAAGACGGAGGUGGAUCCUCGGUAGUGUAUUGAAGUGGUGAAUAGUGGACUCGUGUGCGCAAAACUAUUUCAAAUGGAGUAUCGUAGGAUAGUCUAGCCAAGAGUCAAAGCUGGCUUGCUGCAAUAACUCCACCAACCCUUUUGAUACUAUGCAUGUAUGUAGGAUCUGAUGUAAGUCUUGCUGAGUACCUUUGUACUCAUGUUGCUAUAAUCUACAUUUUUACAGAAGACGCUGCAACCCCUUCUGAUGGGUUCUAUGUAGACGUUGACAUCAACGAGUAGGCUAAAGACCCAGGUGGUGACCCUGAGCUUGUGAAGGACCACGUAGUAUAGCCAGGCUUUCCAAGCCUCUUUUAUUUUACUAGUUGUCUGUACUCAGACAAGUUACUUCCGCUGUUGGCUUGUAUGAUUGUAUAACUUGUAUGUUGGGUCGUGAGACCCGUAACUUUGUGUGUAUAUUAUGUAUGGCUCCCUGAGCCUUAAAUAAAGUACUUGUGUCAUAGAGUCAUGUUGUGAUGCUUCGUUGUAUUUACACAUAUCGAGCAUAUUGUGUGUAUGAUUGAAAUGCUUGGUAUGUGUGGGAUCUGACUAUCUAGUUGUUUAUCUUUAGUAGCCUCUCUUACCGGGAAAUGUCUCCUAGUGUUACCGCUGAGCCAUGGUAGCUUGCUACUGCUCUGGAACACUUAGGCUGGCCGGCAUGUGUCCUUCUUCGUUCCUGUGUCUGUCCCUUCGGGGAAAUGUCACGCUUUGAGUACCGGAGUCCUGUUAGCCCGCUACAGCCAGGUUUACCGGAGUCCUGCUAGCCCAGUGCUACAGCCCGGACCCACUUGCUGAUGACCGACACGUUCGAAGCUGGGUCAUGGAUGCCUGUCCCUGUAAGUCUGUGCCACUUUGGGUUUACGACUAGUCAUGUCAGCCCGGGCUCUUUAUCAUAUGGAUGCUAGCGACACUAUCAUAUACGUGAGCCAAAAGGCGCAAACGGUCCCGGGCAAAGGUAAGGCGACACCCGUGGGAACACCGUGCGUGAGGCCGCAAAGUGAUAUGAAGUGUUACCGGCUAGAUCGAUGUGACAUCGAGUCGGGGUCCUGCUUGGUAUGUGUGGGAUCUGACUAUCUAGUUGUUUAUCUUUAGUAGCCUCUCUUACCGGGAAAUGUCUCCUAGUGUUACCGCUGAGCCAUGGUAGCUUGCUACUGCUCUGGAACACUUAGGCUGGCCGGCAUGUGUCCUUCUUCGUUCCUGUGUCUGUCCCUUCGGGGAAAUGUCACGCUUUGAGUACCGGAGUCCUGUUAGCCCGCUACAGCCCGGUUUACCGGAGUCCUGCUAGCCCAGUGCUACAGCCCGGACCCACUUGCUGAUGACCGACACGUUCGAAGCUGGGUCAUGGAUGCCUGUCCCUGUAAGUCUGUGCCACUUUGGGUUUACGACUAGUCAUGUCAGCCCGGGCUCUUUAUCAUAUGGAUGCUAGCGACACUAUCAUAUACGUGAGCCAAAAGGCGCAAACGGUCCCGGGAAAAGGGUAAGACGACACCCGUGGGGAUACCGUGCGUGAGGUCGCAAAGUGAUAUGAGGUGUUACCAGCUAGAUCGAUGUGACAUCGAGUCGGGGUCCUGACAGGCUGGCAGUCUAGAACCGCCUCUUCCUUAUGCGAGCAGAAUCAUAUGGAUUAUAAUUAGUGAAGAAUACGUGCUCGGCAAAGAAAUCUUCAGCCUUGAACUUCUGUUUGCUUGAGAACAGAUUCUUUUGCUUUGGCAGAGGGGUAUCAGUGAGUUGCAUCACCACCUCAGGAAUCGCGAGCUCAGGUUCUUCAGGCUGAGGAAUUUCUUGUUCCUCAACAGGUGCAGUCUGAGGAUCAGCAGGAGCAGGUUCAUCAACACUAGUGGCUAGAAUUUCUUCAUGGACAGAAGAAGUGGGAUGAGUUUCUUCAGAGCCCAUUUGAACAGUUUGUGCAGGGGACUGAGGUAUCUGUUGGAGUGGGGUGAAGAGUGGAGAAUUUGGAUGUUGACUUUCCCAAAAGUCAUCGUUCAUCACUGGCGUUGUGCUUCCAAUAUCCACAUCUUCUUCAAUUUCCUCAACACAGGCCUCUUCAGCUGUGAAUUGAGGCAUAGGCGAGGAAAUGAUUGGGGUUGAAGGGAUUGCUUCCACUUCAAUUUCUUCAUCAAUCUGCUCUGACGAAGCAGCAGAAUGAUUUUCUUCAUCAGAUCCGCUUGGGAUCUCAUAGUCUUCUCCAAAAGGAACAAGGUCCUUUGAUGGCAUGGAGGAAAUCGGAAUAGCAUCAAUUGGAUUUUCGAGUGAGCUGGUCGUUGGCUUCAUUUUCUUCGCAGUCGAAGAGUUUGACGCAGCUGAUGCCUUCCUUUUCUUCACUGCAGCUCGCUCUGUAGCCUUGGUCUUCUUCACAUCGAAUGCACAUGGAAGAAUUGGAGUUAGUGUAGGUGCAGAUGGAGCUGAGGAAUCUGGUUGAUUUUCUUCAGGCGCAACUGAUGCAGUUGCCCUGACUUCUUCAGUUUCUUCAGGCGCACCACUAGUGGAUGCCCUGGCAAUUUCUUCAGCGGCUGGAAUGGGAUCAUCAGCCCUGGAACUAGCAUUUUCAUCAGCAGCCUGAACAUCAUCAGCGAUGCUGGCAUGUUCUUCAGUCGGCUGAGCUGAGACUCCAGCCUGAGGAAUUUCAUGUUGCGUUGGGGCAGCAACAUUGGUGAAUUUCUUUGUCAGGUUGACGAAUCUGACUUUGGCUCCUUGCCAAUCAGCAUAGUAGGCAUCAAAGUCAUUGCUGAGGGCUUGAAUUUCAGACUGAGCCUGGAGAAGUUCCUCAGGUGUCAUUCUGACAAUGUUUUUCUUCAGGAGCUUCUCCUUUCUAUAUUGAGCUUUCUUAAUCUCUCUUGCCUUUUCAAACUUCCAUUUCUCUUCAGUGAUGAAAUGGGUCAACAUAUGACUUUGUCCAGAGGUCAGAUGAAAAUCAGGCAUUGGGGUGUUUGGAUCCUUGUGCCAGAGAUCAAUAUAAUCGAGGAUUUUCCUCGGAUCCAACAGCAGUGGCACAGAAGUGCCUUUGGCUCUAGCGGCCUUCACCUGUCUGUCUCUGAUGAUUUCUGCAAGUUCAUCAUCAGAAGCUUCAUCAUCAGAAGGCACAUGGAAUGCGACCUGUUUCUUCUUUGGACUUGGCCGAGGACCUCGUCCAGCUGUUGCUUUGGUCUUCAGCAGAGUCGGGCCAGAUGAUGACUUUGGUGCAGCUGAGGAACUUGCGGAAACACCAGAGGCAAUCGAGAAACCAGCAGUCCUUUGACAUGUAGCCAGAUGCACAAGAGCUGAGGACUUUGGUGGAGCAGUAGCAGUGUGAGGAAUUUGCCGUGGGGGCGCUGCUGAGGAACUUGGCCGUGAGGGUGCUGUUGGUGAAGCACUUGGCUUACGAGCAGGCUUCUUUGGCAUGGAUUUCCUCGGUUUGACCGAGGCCUCAGUAGCAGUGGUAGUGGCAGAAUCCUCAUUGAAUUUCUUCACUGCCUCCUUGGCUUGUCUUGCCAAUUUAGCUUGGCGCUUAGCCCAUUCUUCAAGAAAGUCCUCACCACGUUUGAUGCUUGUGGGAUCAGCUACUUGGCCAGGUGCCAAUGGAGCUCUUGGGCAUGGAGGAUUGAGGGCGAAUUUCUUCAUGUACUUUGGAGUCACAUAUCUGUAUUCCCUCCAUUCCCUUGCCCAUCUCCGUUCAAUCUUCUGAAUGCGCACCUUGCGCUGAUUUUUGUUUUCUUUGCCAAAUUUUGCUUCAUCAGGUGUGCAGUAGUCAGCAUAAAUUUCCUCAGGGAUUUCAAACGCAGUCAUAACCUCAGGUUUCUUUCCUCCUUUCUGCGGCUUCUUACCUUCUGCCAUAUUCUUCAGUUGAGGAAUUUGAACAAUUGAGUUCUCUGAAGAAGUAUGCAGUUUUUCUUCGAGGAACGCUGCAAAUGAGUUAAGUUGAUGAGAACCUAGUGAUUCAGCAGCAGGCAUGAGUACCUGUGAACAGAGUACAGGUGCGAGGAAUUCGGAGAGGUCAUAUGCGUUCUGAGAAGGUUUUUUAAAAAGAACAAGUUUUGAGGAAUUUGACCAGAUGAACCUUGAGGAAUUUCACUAAGCGUUCUUGUCUUAGGUUCUAGAGUUGUAAAGAUCGAAGAUCCACACAAUUAGGGAAUCUUGAUGAAAAUGAUUGCUUAGAGAAACAGUUCAAGAUCAUAUGAUGUGUGUGGUGUUCAUAUGUGUGAAGAUUUGAAGAAUAAACACCUUUGAAGAUUUUCAGGAAAGCUUGAGAAUCAAAGCGAGUAAUAAAAGUAACUUUUAAUUACCCAAAGUGAAGAACACGACGAACUGAGAAGAACAGAUGGGAAGUUCAUCAGGUUAGAUCUUCCUUGCCCUAACUCGGCGGAGGAAGACAGCUACGGCGGCGGCGGAGUGAAGAUUUCUACGGUCGGCGUGAGUACGACGGCGACGAGGUCGAGGCAGCGAAGCUCUUCCUCACCGGCGACGAUGGAGUAGCGGCGGCGCUAGGGUUUGAGGAGCUCGAGUGAGAGAGUAGCGAUUGAGCGGAGUAAAUGAAGUGAGGAAGGGGAGAGGGGUAUUUAUAGACACGGUGAAAAACUGUUCGCCCGAAGAUUUGGGACGAACGUGCCCCUGCCCUUUCUCCUUCACGCGACAUGUGUCACCCACGUACUGUGUAGUGGAGAUCGUGUAUGAUCGUGGGUGAAUAGAAUAAUGCAUCGUGGGAUGCGGAACAGUUUGAGCGGCAAAACCGAAAAUUUGGAUAAGAUUUAUUUUAAAGUUUCGUUCGCAAUUUCUUCAGCUGACAAGGACACAGUGAAGAUUUUGAACGAGUUUCAAAUAGAACGCACAUGAAGAAUUUGUGAAUAGAUUGGGUUGAGUAUAGCAUAGAGGGGGAAGGGUCCGAUCACAUUCACUUAGCAGAAAAAGCAACUUGAAGAAAUAGCUAUAAGUGAAUGAUGUAGAGGACAUAAACUCAUAUAUAUAUAUAUAUAUAUAGCCAAUGAAGAAAAACGAAGGGAACAGUGAAGAUUUUGCAAAGUUGAAGAAUUUGAAAAACUGAAGAAUUUCAAAACAAAAAAAAAC
rnacentral:lncRNA from 1 species